rnacentral:lncRNA from 1 species
CACGUGGUAUCCUCUUCAUCUUGAAAGAGUGAAGUGGUCAUACUCUUUCCUCCGAGUCCAUCGUGGCCAUGCACUUCUGGCUCAUUGGGCUGAGUGAAAGGAUUCCCUUCUGCUUCAAAUCAUAGAGAGAUAUGCCAUGGUCAGCCUCUUUAAUUUGAAGGAUUGAAGUACUCAAAUCCAUUUCUUUGCAUCCAUCUUAGUCCUGCUUCCAUGUCUCAUGGUUAACCAGGAAGAUCAAGCUUCCAUCCAUGAGAUCAGCAUCUGCAGGGUUAUGACUCCACCCUUCCUUGGCAUAGGAAAGCGAUCAUUAAGCCACAUGUCGGAUGACAGAAGUCGUCAUUCAGGUUAUCUUGAGAACUAGGGAAGUUGGAAUUCUAAUUAUUGCAUAUGGUUCUUGAUGUUUAGCCAAUAUACUAUAGGAUUUUAAGCAUCAUGCCCAUGUGCAUUGUGGUUUUUUAUCAGCUAUAUGGUUUACCAAACUGAGGGAUUGAUUAUAGUCAUAAGUACCCUUUUCCCAUUAAUUUCUUGCAUGUGCUUUGCUGAGAUUAUGUUUUUGACAGUGCUAAUCAGGGCAAACCAACAAACAGCUUUAUGUUAACUUUUACAAACUGCCACAUUUUCAGGUUGAACGAUCAGACAUAAAUCUUGGUGAAACUAGAAGUAAUACAACCUGUGCUGUGGAGAUAAAAGAAAGGGCAGCAGCACUGGUGGCUGCAGAAAUUGAGGCAUGUAGAGACAAUAGAACCCCCGAGAUACCUCUGCAUAAGAAAGUCCAGAAAGAGUGGGCUUGUGCUGUAUGCCAGUUCACAACCCAAAGUGAAGUGACCUUCAAUUCCCACCUUCAAGGGAAGAGACAUCAGGCCACUUCUGAGCAGUUGAGAGCCAAAAACCAGGCAACCAAAACCAAUUGUUCCCCAUCUGCUUCAAAGGCCAAGAAAUCUGAUCAGUCCACCAAAGAGGAGCAACCAAAGUGUCCUUCCAACAAUCUGAAUUCCAAAAACAAUGGAAUCUCAGCUGCUUCAACAGUGAAGAAACCUGACGAGACCAAAGAUGAUGAGCAACAAAAGUGUGCAUCCAGCAAUGGACCAAACCAGAAGAAUAACAAAAAGCAAGAGGAGAAGGUGCUAGUUCUUGAGACCAAUGAGCAAGGCCAUCAGAAUAAUUUUGAUCCACGAUCCCACAUUUAUUUUGGGUCUCACAAGUUUCAAAUUUGCAGAAAAAUGAAAGAUGUUUGAGAGAAAAUUAAAUCAUAUUGCACUACUGUUAGGAAAAAUAUGGCUGAAUCCAAUUGCUUUUCUUCUCCAAGUCUAUUAAAAAUAUAAUUUUUUCUCCAUUCCUGACAAAAUUUAAAUUUUUUCCUUAAAAAAAAAAAAAUUAAGUUUGAUCACCUAACACAUCUUUCUAAACUCAAUCUCAACUUGAAAAAUCAAACCUUAAUGGAUGGACUAUAGAAAUAGUGAGAAAACACUUCUGGGGUUUUUUUUUUCUUCCAACAUCAAAUUUUUCUAUAUAUGGGAUUUCACAUGCAAAAGCAGGAGUAGAUUUGCUUGUGUUUGAUGUAUGUAUUAGAAAAAUUUGUCCCUUCUGGGAUGUUUAAUACUUUUCUAUUCUUUUAUAUGCAUGUUUAGCUAGAAGAUAUAGAAUCGAUACCAUUCCUUAAAAGUGAUAGCCACAACUGUGAUAAUUAAACACCAAAGAAUGUGAAGAUCUAUAUAUUCUUUUUUUUUUCCUCUCUCUUUCAAUAAUGAAGCUAAGAUGUGUUGUAAGCAUCAAAUGCAUUGUCUCUGCUUGAAUAUAUACAAAGCCAAGGACCACAAGAUGGAUAGAUAUGGGGACGCACAAAACUUCUCAAACAUGAUUAUAUUAAUCAAGAAUUCAACUAAGCUUAAAUUCAAGAUGUUGAUUUCUAGCAUCUCUGGUGCUAUAGGAUGACUAUUGAUCCUGUACUGUUAUGUGCCCUACUGAUAUAUUCUUCGGGUUGUUAUGUAUAAAUAAAAUUUUUGGGAAAGUUUGCUUGGUGGUUACACUAUCACUAUUUAGGCCAGUAAAAAUUGGAAGCCUUUGUAAAAAACUGAUGGUCCAAGAGCUAUUCUACUUCAUCAUCCAUGUAAUAUGACGAUACAAAUUUGACUAAAUGCAGCUAUAGAAGGCUUAGGACCAUAAACCAAGCCUAGUCGAUGUCACUCACCUAAAUUUAUGCAUAAAGCUUUUGGAUGGCUCAGAGUUAUAUUUAAUUACUGUUAUGUUCGCAACUAUAUUUUCAUUGGAUUUAUAGUCCAGCUUGAGAACUAGUCCUCCAUUGCACAUAAUGUCCACACAAGGCCACAGUGCCCGCUCAAAGGCCAUAGCGCUACUCAAGGAUAUAGUGCUUACUCAAGGCCAUAGAGCCCACCUAAGGCUAACGACCCAAAAGGAGAAAAAGGUUGGUUCCACGUACUCUAAUAUUUACUAGAAAAGGUUCUUCCUAUUAAAGAACAAAAAAUUGCAUUCCCUUGUGACCAAUCCAAACAGUAGACCACUGACUUGUAUAAGGCAUUAUUCACCAUGCAAGCACUUUUUCAGCAACCUACCAUCUGGCAUGAACCAUUUUGGAUUGAUUCACAAAGCAAUGGUGUUAUAUUAAGCAUAUUCAAUAUAGAACCAAAUUGUGCCUCCUUAGAUUAACUAAAAUAUUUCCAUUGCAAGAUGUGCAGAUAGGCAUAUGAUCAUGAAGUAAUUUCCUGAUGAUAAUACCCCACAAAAUAUUUCUUUUUCUCACUGAUCUCUCCUAGAUUUUCAGUUCACCCAUCCAUGGCGCCUGACUAAAAAUGGGGGCAUUUUGGAUACCCCGAGCAGUAAGUUAGCCUGGUAGGCAUCCCGUUGCAAGCAAAGUCAACCCGAGCGGUCCAUUUGACCAAAGCUUAUCCAGGCAGUAAGCGUCCAUAUACAGCUAACUGUUAUGCACCAUCAACAGGUUGAGGUUACAAGAUUAAAGAGUCAUAAUGGCCAAAUGGAAGUUACACGACUCGGCCUAUAUAAUAACAGUAUGACAAAAAAUGCAGGUAUGAAGAACUAUCACUGAAAAAAUUUAUUCCUAAAAAUCCUUUAAGCUCCUUUAAGCUAACUUGGGCAUUGGAGAGGUCUCUCCGAAGCACACUCGAGCUUACCUUUUUGUAAGACAUCGAGAACAAGAGGCAUUGAAGUGAUUGUCCGGAGGGUUGAACUUGGUCGGGAACCAACAAUACACACUAUUCAAAAAUAGGGAUCAUAUUAAAUUAUUAAUGCAACCAUAGGAAGCAAUUGAGGACAAGGGUGUUAUUUGAUUAAAAGGGUAAUUGAAAACCUAAAUUUUGAAAUUUAACCCUCCAUUCUAUUUGGCCUUAUGUGAACAAAAAUGCCUUCAUUAUUUUCUUGUAAAAAUAACUCACCCAUUUAAACCUUACAUGAAAAUACUUAAAAUGGUAAAUGAUAUGUUAAAAAUUGAUUAUUUUUCAAAUAAAACAUAAGAAGGGUCAAAUUCAUGAAAGGAUUAUUUCAUCCCUUUUAAUCAAUUAAUUCGAUUUAUUUCUUUUUAUUUUUUUUCUCUCCAUGUUAAUUUUCACAUCACCCAACAACACCACUCUUAAUUCACACAAGUUUGAAGUUUUUGAAUGAGAUAUAUUCGUAAUUAUAUUGUAAUUGUGUUAUAAUAACCAUUUCGUACUUGGAUUUGUUCUUUCAGUCCAUUUAACCUUUUUGUUUAUUCAUGUCAAAACAAUGUACUUAUAAUCGAAUCCAUUUAUGACAUGUUGAUCUUAUAUAAAUUUAUUAAUUUUAUAUAUUUAAAAAUUAUAAAAAUUAAAUAUACUUUUUCAAUUAUGAAUAUCAUAUUACUAAAAUAUUAAAUAACAAAUUAACUUGAAAUGCUAUAUAUUUCAUUAAUUAUUUUAUAAUUAAAACAUUAAAUGAAAUAAUAAACAAGUAUAAAAUAGAAAAUUCUAUCUUAGUUAGAAAUUAUAAACUGUUAUUGAGACAUAUAAGUAUUAAAAUUCUACCCAUUUCACUACCAAACAACUUAUGUUUUUAGUCAUAAUUUAACCUUAUGAUGAACACUUAAAUAAAAUUUGUCAUCUUUUUCUAUUGAUUUAUAUUUAUUUAUUUAAAAAUUUUGUCUGGCAUAAACUAUCAUCUCACAAAAUCAUCAUUGAUGAGUAGGCUAUGCCCCAGUGUAAGCAUCUCCAAAUCAAACAUCAAUGAGAGGAGUACAACCAAUCAUACAUCAUCUUAUCAAAAUGAAUCUCCGCUUUUCAAAGUCAUCGUGGUAACGUGAAGAGAGUAUUUGACCUCCUCUAAAGAAAAAACAUGUCUUGAUGUGAAAAAGAUCAAGCAAAGUGGUAUGCCUCAACAAAAAUGUGCUCAAACAUGAUCAUGCCCCGAUGUAAGUUAGUAUCUCUAAGAUCAAUCGCCAAUGAAAAGGUUAUUCCCCAGUAUAGGGCAAACUCUGAAAUGACUAAACUCCGUUGCAAGCUCUCAUAAGUGUCUGUGUCAUGAUCCAAUCAUCGCAAAAAUUUGUCAACAAUGAUGAGAAGGCUAUGCUCCUAUAAUCACAUCAAAGAAAUCACUCGGUCAUAUUACUCCAAUGUGAAAGAAAUCUAAUCACCUCCAAGGAACAGCUAUGCCUCAAAACCAUCAUCGACUGAGAGGGGGAUGCCCCUGAUCCAAUCACCACCCUAACUAACGUACCCAUCAUGAGGAACACUUGUUUGAGCUCCAUAAUGGGGAUCAACCAUUAGAUGAACAAGAUUCGAAUAUUACUUGCUCCCCAUUUCAACCAAUGAAUGAUGUACCUGGAAACCUUGUAGACAACCAUAGUUUUCAGCCUUCUUCCUCGCGAUCAUCUAGAACAGAGUCGGUAAGCUUCACUCAUUUCUUAUAAUGGACCUUGACCCACAACGUCGAACUACCUGUAUGCAAAAUUAUCCGUCCAGAAAACCCAUCCAUACAAUUCAGGUUCAAAACCCACAAGAACCACCCUAUGAAUAAACUAAUUAUAGCUGGCUUCGUUGCAAUAGGCAUUAACUUUCUUAUGCUGACAGUCCUAGCAUCAUUUACCAAAGGAUCAACAACUUUUCCAUGUCAGAGAACAUUAUCAAUCACAAUGACACCCCUGGUCCUCACUAGUUGCGAUAGCAAUUUAAAGUAUUCUUGAUUCAAAGGGUAAACAAAACAAAAAAGAAAACCCUAAGUGUGACUCCUUAUUUGAAAAAUGUGGUUUAUGAAAAACCGGAUCGAGCUUAGGGGUCAGGUUACUUAUCGGGAAGGUACAAAAAAAACCGUAGCACCCCUCUAAGUCCCUAAAAUGGGUCUCUAUUGAUAAAAUGAAGCAAUCAUGGCAAUUGGUAAGGAAAUCAUUGAGUAUCAACAUGAUCACACAUUGAGAGUUAAAGCAUGCAUGAGGAAUGGUCAAAGUGAGAAAGGAUGCGUACCUUAGCAACGAGUCCCAAUGCGCUAUCAAGAAAUUGGGUUAGUGCACAAUCAAUAAAUAUAAAAUAUAACACACAUGCAUCACUAAAUAGGGUAAUAAAUCCCCGAUGACAAACCUUGCACUUCACUCAGGUUUAUUUCUACUUCUCUGAUGUUGGGCCCCACCAAAGCUCAUUUUAUUUUGCAUGAAUCAACUCCAAUAACUCCAUUAUUCGGAAUUACGAAAUUUAAUUCUUGCUUAUUUUAAAGCAUUUUAAAAAUAGAGGAGAUAUGAGAAUUGCUCGCCAGAAAAGAAGAUGGCGGCAAAAUUUUAAUGAAAAACGAGUUUUUGGAACCUAAGAAAAAUGUUAAGGAUGGAAAAUUUUGGAGGUUUGAAAUUAAUUAAAAAUUAGAAUUGAGGAAUUUAUUUACAAAAUGGGGUUUAGGAAAAUUAUUUUCAAAAAAAAAAAAUGAUGAAAUGAGAGAUGGCACGUGACACAAGGGUGGCCAUGCUGAAGGCGUUCUCUUCUGGCCCAAGCUGGAAAUGCACUCCAAUUAUCCUUCUUUUCUGGUAUAACACCUUCAUCAAAAUAAAUAGCUUUUGCACCAUACUCUGAUAGACAAGGACCAAUAACAAUGCCUAUAUUUGCCUUAAGUAGACAAAGUAAGUCACCCAUUGAACCUCCAAUAUAAAUUGUCAAGUGCUCUGUGUCAUUACUGCAUCCCUCCUUCAAGAUGUCCUUAGAAACCUAAAGCUUUUCCACGACAUACUCCAUCUUCUUAAUGAUUUCACCCGUGGAAAUGGAUUCUUCACAAGCCAACUCAUUUGAAUAUACUCUCAAAACACCCAUAUCACCUGAUGAAAAUGCUGAUCUAACGAAAUCGCCACACCAACAGUAUGAAAGUCCAUGAACAUCUGCUUUCAGAUUAUUAUUUUUAAGAAUCUUUUGGAAGAAACCUGUGCAACCAUCUUGAAGAAUUAGACCUUGACCAACCUGUUUUAUAUCAUCUGAAUUUAAACCCUUCAAUACUCCAGACUGAGUCACUCUUGAAUCUGCCUUUUCCUCAAAAUCAGAAAGUUGCUCAAGUGCUUUACAUAAGCCUUCAUAAUUGAAUUUUUCCACUGUUUCACUGGGGACGAUGCUUCCCAUGCAUUUUUCAAGCUCUUCAGUAUGCUGGGUAGAUAGAACACCCCAUGUGUGUGUCCAGAUCACCAUGAGUGACCAUUUGAACCUUGACGAAUGAGAGAGUACAUAACAUUUAAGCACACAGGACAUAUAUUAACAUUCUCCAUUAGCUUCUCUUUGCCUUUGUCCACCUCUUGACCUCCCAUGCAGCCAACUGUGAAGACCACGUCCAGGUGCAGUCACGUGGUGACACAUCUCAUGGUCUUCCUCAUCCAAUAAAUCACAUGCUCUGUUAAAUCUGCUACCCGAAUGGAUACCUCCUAUCCAUCAACCUGAAUAUACUCCGAGCUUUCUUCAUAAAACCCAAGAAACUCCAGAAGGCAUCAUGGUUCUCCUCCAUCAUUGAAAUGAUUAGGGAUAGUAAAUCACUCAUCCCUUAGCAAUAUCCCAUUUUUAAACCAUAGGGUGCGUAGGCUUCUAGAAUAGUAGCAAAGUGAGCAACACGGAAAAUCUUGCGUGGAUCCAAGUUCCAUGAUGGUGAUCGUAGCCUCACCUUUGAAAUCACAAGACCCAGAACCCAUUCGUUCUUCCUGGUAAUAACUAUCAGAUGCAUAGGAGGCAGGGUUCUUCAGAUUGUUGAUUUGGUAAAAGCCUCUUCUGGUUGAACCCCUGAAUGAUUCACUUUUCUCAGUCCGCAAACCUAGUUCAGAACAGCCCGCAAGAUCAGAACCUUAACCUAGGCGUGGAGAUCCAGUGUUGUAUAACGCCUCAAUUGUCGGAAGCAGCCAUGGCCCAAACAAUGAUAUAAUGGUCAGCAAGUUGUCCCCAAGGACCAUGACAGUGAUGAGCAUUUCCGGGCAGCGCGUCACCACGUUCCACGUCGCGACGGUAAUGGCUAUGGACUGAGUGUCAUGGUCAGGGAGCUUGAUGAAGCAGGUGAAAAUCUGGUGUUUUAGAUUCUGAGGCAAUGACUGCUUGAUCGGUCGGAUUCUAGUACCGGCGUUACAUUGGGGAGGCAAUCUUAAAGUUCCAACGGAGGUAGUAGUGGACUAAUAUUCCUCAAUAACCAAACUUGAGUUUCUCACUUUCCGCUUCUCAAGGCAUUCACCUGAAACGCUUCAGGCGCCCAAACCCUUUCUGCUCAUCAGUAUAAUCACGCGCAUGAAAGUCUUAACUGCCUUCUAAACUUCACAACUUCAUCUUGCAUCUGGGUCAUCGUCGGCACGAACUUAUCACCUGAUUCAGUUAAUAUCCCCAUAUAACAAGUUCCAAUGAAGUCGCAACUUUGCAUCUUCUUUUCUGCGAUUACUUUGAUUCUCAAAGCCGAUUACUUGUUGCAGUCCAUAGGAGAUUCAAUAAUCAAACAUCAUGCACAAGCAAAAAGGCAACAAAAUACAUCGGCAUGUGGCCCAUACACCCUCCAAAAUCUUCACUCAUUUAGUAAGUUUUAGAUUCAAAAGAGUUAGCCUUCUGGUGAGCAACCCGAUACCCAUAACGAAUGAUGUAUCUGAAACACCUUUCCCACGUGGCCCUUGAAGGAUUCACUAGAAGGUGACCAUGCAUAGUAGGUCUUCACUCGCAGGAGAAUGAGAAGGAAAUAAACCUAAAGGGGGGUUGACAGCGUAGUCUAGAAGGUGAUGAGCUGAGCGGGUGGGGGUAUUAGGGUGGUCAAGUUCAGUGGGUAUGAAGGGUGGAAAGAUGGCAUGAUAGAGGAAUAAGCAGCUGAUAGUGGGUGCGAUGAUAUAAGGUAGGUUGACUAUGGAGAGUAUGGCAUUAAAGGAUGAAGACUUAGAGAGAGAGAGGUGGGUUUAAGGGUAUGGUGAGAUGGAGGGUUGAGGGUGAUAGGCUUGGAUAGUUGCAUGAGGAGGAUGAAAGGUGGGUAUGGAAAAUGUGCAUGGGUAGGAAAUGGGUAUAACAAUGGGUGUGAAUAUUGAGAGGUAGUGAAAUGAAGGCAGCCUUGCUCGUAUGGAUCAGUGUCGGAUUGAGUUAAGAAUGGUGAGAGAAAGGGAUUCGAUGAAUAUUGAAUGAUGGAAAAUGGUGAUUGGUUAGAUAGGGAUUUGUGGUCGAAUGGAAAUAGGAGACAUGAACAUAGAGAUGAGUGUGAUGGAUGAUAGUGGGCAUGAAGGGUAUUGGAUUUGUUCAUGGGUAUAGUGGUUAAAAGAGUGGUGAGAAGAAAAAAAAAUGGCCAUGUAAAUAGCAAUUAUACAUGUGGGCCCGUGAUUGCAAACGGGACUGCAUUGUUGCAUCUCAUGCUGAACCCUCACCUCCUUCUAGGAUCAUUUUCUGCAUCAAAGCUAGAUAAACUUAGAUGGUAUUUCCUGCCAAUUUUGGAUGCCCCCCACUUUGGAAAUAUUUCCUUUUCACCCAUCAGAAUAUGCUUAUCAGGUGUACUUGACUCAGGUUCAUUCCCAUAUUGCCUCUCUGAUUUAUGAUCUUCAAAGGUUUUGCAUGAAGGAAGCCUUUCACUGCAUUCCCCUUCAUCCACCAGACCUUCAGAGCAUCGUUUCCAACAAAAGCAACCUUGACUCUUCUAGUCCCAUCAGAAAAAAGUCUGAAUAUCCUCAGUUUAUGUCAUCCCUUGAUGCCCAACUCAGAAAUGAUCCAAAAAACAGUCAUCUCCCAUAUUUGGCUUCCCAGAAACACCUCGACUCAGAUGGCCAGUCCAAAUGUGAUACCCAACAUUCUAAAAAUGCUAAAAACAGAGGAGAUGAUGAAGAAAAACAGAGCAUGUAUAAAAGAAAAAAAAAAGGACUGUUAAAUCUCACUCCAUUCCAUAAAUGCUAAUGGGGUGGAUAUGGUGGAAUCAAAAGGAAGCAAGAGCGUGAUCUUCAAAAUCAAAAGCAAUGAUGGAUCCAUAUUCAAAACGUUCCAGAAUAGAGAAAGACACAAAUAAGGAGCAGGGUUUUUUUUUGUUACUGGCAGGAAGAUAUUUUUUCUAGAGAGUAACUAGAGAGAAAAAUAGGAAGAAAAGGGAAGAGCAUAGAAGACAUCUACAUAGGAGAGUAUUCAUUGUUGUGAGGAGUAGUAGAGAGCUUAGGAGGAGUUACAAAGAGAGUGAGUUUGGUUAGAGGAGGAAGUUUUGUUGGUUUUUCAGAAAGGAUUCUAGCUUGAGUGAGAGCCAUUCUAGAGAGGGUUAGAGAGGAGAAAGGUGUGUUUUGAGCAGCAAAGACACGAAGCAAAAUAGAGCAGCCAGGAAAGAGAAGCAGAAAAUCAAAAUUACUAAAAAAUUAGUGAAAGCUGUGAAAUUUCAUAUUGUUACUAAUUAUUAUAAUUUUUUUUUGUAUUUUCAAUAUUUCAACCAAUAUUUUAUAUAAUUAAAUUUAAAUUAUAAGAAUUAUAUUAUUAAUACACAUAACUAUCUUAAUGUUUUAACAAUGUAUACUUAUUUAAAUUUAUUUCAAUUUUUUUAUUUUUUUAUAAAUAUCUAAUUAGACUUAUAAUUCAUUGAAAUUAUUCAUUUUUUUUUUACUUCAUAAACCAAUUAUAUUACUUUUUGUAUUUUCAAUAUUCAUUUGGAAAAAAUAAUUUCAAUUUAAAAUAAAAUAAAUUAAUUAACUCUCAAUUUAUAAAUUGUGUCAUUGAAUUAUUUUUUAUUUAUAAUAUUUAGUUUAUUUUAAAUUUAAUUUUUUUUCUUCACCUUUUGGUUUAUCACUUUAUAUUAAAAAAUAAAAUAAAAUUGAAUUUCUUUUAAUUUAUAUUUUCACAAAUUAUUCAAUAUUUUUUUAAUUUUUAUAAAAUAAAUCCUCAGAUUAUAUAAUUGGAUGUUGUAAAGAGUUAAAAUUUUUGUGUUGCAUUGAAUUAUUUUUUCUAACAAAAGUAUAUUUGGGUACCGUAGACAUUAUAUCCAUAUCUUAACGUAUUAUAUACUUUUAUUUUGUGCAAUUAGCAAUUGAGCGGAAGACGCGGAGCCGGCUAACGGAAAUACCGCGUGUCACGCGUGUCCCUUCCCGUACCAAGUCUCAACUGCUUCAAGAUUUCCGACGCGCCCUUCUUCGCUUAACUCUUAAGUCUUUUCUUCCACUCUUCCUUAAACCCAUCACAUUUCGCCGCGUGGACCUAAGUCUCAAUGUCCUUGUGUUCAUACGAUGUAUGUUCCCCCAAUUCCUCAUCUACACUGAAACUCCAUACUCGCCUACUCAAUCACUUCUCUACUCUAGAGUCUGGAUGCUUAUCUCUGCGCGUGUCGAUGGCUCUUCACCCCAGCGAGUAUGGCAUUACAAGGGCAAUAUCGUCAUUAAAGACACAACAGAGUGUCUAUUUUAUUUAAGCUGUACGUAAUCGUGAUUGACUUCUUAGUAUCCUUUUGCUCCUAGUCUUCUCCCGCGUCUCUUAUAAAAACUAAAGAAAACCACUCCAAGAGAGCACACUACAAGAAUCUUCUUCCUUUUUUUCUUUCCUCUUUCUCUUUACAGAUAAACUGAGAAAGCCCAGCUCAUCCCUCAAUUCCCAGAUGGGUUUCAUGAAUGUUCUCAAGUUCUCAGCUGCAUGCUUUGAUCUUCUUGGCUGGUAUGUUGUCCACGCGUUUUCUUGCCAUUGGAAAUUUUUGGGAAAUGAAGUGGAAUUCUCUGUUUGAGGACAAACAUGGGAUUUUCUUUGAUUUCUCCCUGUUGGUUUUAUCUAUAUUCUUUGAAUUACCCACAUUCUUGUCAUUGAUUGUUAGUCAUUUGUUUGGAUUUCUACUUGCAGGCCUCUAUGUGCACUGGGUUAUCCUCUGUAAGUCUUGGUCUUACACCUCAAGAUAUGAUGAUUCAUUUACUCUUUUCUUGUUCUACGAAUGGUUCAGUUACAUUUAUUGUGUUGGGAAACUGAAAAGGAAAAGGAUUAUUAGUUAUUAUCGUAAUAAUCAUCAACAUCAUCUCGGUUCUUCACAGAUGUGCUUCAAUUCGGGCAAUUGAGACUAACUCAAUCUCAGACUUUCGGAAGUUGGUGGCGUAUUGGGUUCUAUUUUCCUUGAUUUCACUCUUUGAUCAUGCUUUUUCCAAGCUCCUUGAAUGGUAAUUUUGCUCAACUGCAUUCCACUAUAUGUGACUCUGUUUGUUUCAUUUCUUUGCCCUUAAGGAAUUUGGAGUUGCUUUUUUCAGUUUUCUUUCCUAUGAAAAUAAUCGAGAGGUCUCCAUGUAUUUUAUAUUCCUUCAUUUCUCUGCUUUGACAAAGGCCCACAUUCUGAUCAGCAGAAAGGUUAUAACAUUUGAAAAAGAAGUGCUUUAUUUUUGUUUUUUGUUAGUACAAUAAUUUUCGUUUGGAUAAAUGGUCUGAAGGGUGUUUGUGUUUGGCUGAGUUCAUGGAAUUUUCUAGCUAAUUUGGGAUUUAUUCUCAAUUUCAAGAUCAUUGUGGAUAUGUCAGAAAUUAAUGAAAUAUAAACGGUGGAAUGUGAUUUUCUUGUUUAAGAAAAGUUUUUCUUUGAAAAUACGGGUGCACCUGACCUACCUUAUUGUGCUACUUGGAACACAAAACAUUAGUACAGGUAAUUUAUUAACUAAAUUGUACACUUUUUGAUAGUUCAAGGAGGUGGUUUUCUUCUUUUAGGGUGUCAGCUUUGGAAAUAGGAUGGAUCUAAAAGUUUUUAUGUCUCAUCUUUAUAGGGAACUUGAAAGCAUGGAUGCACUUAUUUCCAUGGAAUUUGGCUUCCUUGAAAUCAAAUUAAGCUUUAUGCAUCAUUUGGAUGCUGAGAAACAAAUGGAAAUAGAAAAUUCAGAAUCUGACAAGUUUUUGUAGGGCAACUGGAUCUAAUCUCUUAGUCGAAGCCUAAUUGGGGCAAAUGCUGAUCAUCUUUGGACCCCAUUGAAAGCUCUAAUCUGUGCACAAUUCUAAUGUUUUUGUUUUCUUCAUUUCUUUUUCAACUUUUCACAAUAGAUGUCAAAGGUUAAAACCAAAUUUACGCAGUCCAUCCAAGUGGAUGCAUAUAAAUUUAACAGAAACUGAAAUUCGAAGAAAUUUAUUUUCCCUUUUGUAAAUGGUGUUUAAAUAUUUUAUUUUCUUAUAUAAUGCAUGUCAGGGUACCAUUCUGGCCUUACAUAAAGCUGAUGGUCAUCUGCUGGCUGGUGAUACAGCAGUUUGAUGGUUCAUAUUAUGUCUAUCAACACCUAGUUCAGCCAUGCUUGUCCAUGGAUCCACAAGCUGUCAUGAACUGGCUCUUCAAUGAAUCAAAAAAGAAGUUUCAUAGCAGAGAAAACUUUCUUGUUUCAGCAGACCGAUAUAUUAAGGAGAAUGGACCUGAAGCUUUGGAGAAACUACUUUCUAGGAAGGUAUGCCAUUAUAAGUAGGAUUAUCAACAAGUCAAACAGAGUUUUAUUUGAGAUGUUCAGGUAAAAAAUGACUAUAGUAGGUCAUCUAGAAUCAUUUGGUCUAAAUUCAUGUAUAUAUCUAUAUAUAAUUGUGUUCUCUUUUUUUCACAUAUGCAUGUGCAUUUAGAUUUACAUAAUUAUAUAUGCAUAAUCAGAUUCAACUGUGAUAGCCCGGAAUUAUUUCAGUAAUCAACUCUUCUGGGAACAUGUUGGUUAUGGUUUCUCUCUCACUGUCCUCUUCUUUAUACAUGACUUUGGCUUCAGUUGAGGAGCGCAAAGCCUAAUGUUGAAGUGAAAAAGAUCAAAGCACCUGCAGCACCGGAGAAAAAAGGGGAACAGGUAAGUUCUCUAAUGUGACUAUUUAAUUUCUAUGAGGCAGAUCCCCAGAGAAAUGUUGCUCAUGUAAAUUACUGAUGCAUUUGAUUCAAUGGCAUGGUUUUAAAAGAAAAACCACUUUAUGUAUGUUUCUGUGAAUAAGAGAACAAGUUUAUGGAUUAAAUGAUAUUUUUUAUGGUGGAUUAAUCAAUAAUUUUCAAAAUAAUAAUAUAUUCGUGCAUGUUUUUGCAAUUCAUGAAUUCCUUUUAUGAUUGAUUCUUCUUGCCUUUUUUCUCACCUCAGUGGAAGUGUGAAGAGCCUAAUGUUGCUCAAAAGGAGAUCCAAGUUGUCAAAGUAACAGAGAUAAAAAAUGGGGGGGAUGGAGCAAAGAGGGUAAGUUUUGCUUUUUAUUUAUAAAGUAGGCUGUCUUCACACAAGGAUUAUUAUCUUUAAGACAUGAAUGUUGAAUGCUUUUGGAAUUGUCCAUGAAUCAUGUGUAGUGUGAAUGGCCUAAUGCUGCUAAGAAGGAGGUCAAAGUGACAGAAGUAACACACAGAACAUUCGGUGGUACAGCACAGUGGGUAAGGUUUCAUGUCAUAUUUAAAUGGCUCCUCAUAUUUCACUAGGAUUAAUUUUGCCCCUACAAACAUAUUUGGCUACAAGUUAAGACAGAGUUCCAGAUGCUGAUAAAGUUGAGACAUAAGUAAUGAAUGAGUUUAGAAACAUGCACAACUCUUGUGUGAAACACAAUGAGAGUGGAAAAUAGCUAAGUUGAAAAAUGGCCAAAUACUAUUUUGUAGUUCCCCCUACCACUUAAGUAAUUUUUGUCAUCCUUUGUGAAUGGAAAAUCCAGUCCCUUCAGUAAUUCCGUUAUAUUCAUGACUUGGUGAAGCAUAUAACCAUUAGUGUCUUGCCUUAAGUCGACCUUUAAUGAUGAUCCAUUGAGAUGGGUCUGACUUUUGUCAACCCUCUUAUUCCCUUGAUCAUAGAGGUUAAACUUAGGGGGCUUAACCCACUUUUGAACCUUAUUGGAUAUAUGGCACAUGGUAUCCUCUUCAUCUUGAAAGAGUGAAGUGGUCAUACUCUUUCCUCUGAGUCCAUUGUGGCCAUGCACUUCUGGCCCAUUGGGCUGAGUGAAAGGAUUCCCUUCUGCUUCAAAUCAUAGAGAGAUAUGCCAUGGUCAGCCUCUUUAAUUCAAGGGAUCGAAGUACUCAAAUCCAUUUCUCUGCAUCCAUCUUAAUUCUGCAUUCAUGUCUCAUGGUUAACCAAGAAGAUCCAGCUUCCAUCCAUGAGAUCAGCAUCUGCAGGUUUAUGACACCACCCUUCCUUGGCAUAGGAAAGGGAUCAUUAAGCCAUGUGUUGGAUGACAGAAGUCAUCAUUCAGGUUAUCUUGAGAACUAAGGAAGUUGGAAUUCUAAUUAUUGCAUAUGGUUCUUGAUGUUUAGCCAAUAUACCGUAGGAUUUUAAGGAUCAUGCUCAUGUGCAUUGUGGUUGUUUAUCAGCUAUAUGGUUUACCAAAAUGAGGGACUGAUUAUGGUCAUAAGUACCUUUUUCCUAUUAAUUUCUUGCAUGUGCUCUGCUGAGAUUAUGUUUUUGACAGUCCAAAUCAGGGCAAACCAACAAACAGCUUUAUGUUAACUUUUACAAACUGCCACAUUUUCAGGUUAAACGAACAGAGAUAAAUCUUGGUGAAACUAGAAGUAAUACAACUUGUGCUGUGGAGAUAAAAGAAAGGGCAGCGGCACUGGUGGCUGCAGAAAUUGAGGCAUGUAGAGACGAUAGAACCCCCAAGAUACCUCUUCAUGAGAAAGUCCAGAAAGAGUGGGCUUGUGCUGUAUGCCAGGUCACAACCCAAAGUGAAGCGACCUUCAAUUCCCACCUUCAAGGGAAGAGACAUCAGGCCACUUCUGAGCAGCUGAGAGCCAAAAACCAGGCAACCAAAACCAAUUGUUCCCCAUCUGCUUCAAUGGCCAAGAAAUCUGAUCAGUCCACCAAAGAGGAGCAACCGAAGUGUACUUCCAACAAUCUGAAUUCCAAAAACAAUGGAAUCUCAGCUGCUUCAACAGUGAAGAAACCUGAUGACACCAAAGAUGAUGAGCGACAAAAGUCUGCAUCUAGCAAUGAACCGAACCAGAAGAAUAACAAAAAGCAAGAGGUACAGACCAAUGAGCAAGGCCAUCAGAAGAACUUAAAGCAAACUGGCGAUGGAAUGAAAGAGUUGAGAUUAUGCUGCAAUAUCUGUAAUGUAAGCUGCACAAGUGAGCUUGACAUGGCCUCUCAUCUCAAUGGAUGGAGGCACUUUAAUAUGAUAAAGGAGGCGUCUGAAUUAUGGUGCAGUAACUGCAAUGUAAGGUGCAACAGUGAGGCUGUCAUGGCCUCUCACCGAAAUGGGAGGAGGCACUUGAAGCAGCUGAAGGAACGGUCGGGAUUAUAGUGCAGUAUCUGUAGCGUGAGAUUGUGUUAGGAAGAGGUGGAAUGGGUUCCAAUCAGGAAUUAAGACUCGGUUCCAAGACAUGGAAAGUGUCUUUAGAUUAUGUUAUCUCCAUUUUUUUUAUUGUGAGAGGGGAGUAUAAGGAAUGAAAAUAAAUAUAUAUAUAUUUUUUAAUAGAGAUGAAUUUGAUAAUUUUAAUUAUUGUGUUUUGAUGUAUUUAGGAAUGUAAAAUUAAAAUAAUUAUUUAUUUUCAUUUUAGUAUUUGACAAUAAUAAAAUUAUGAAUUAAAAAAUAAUGUGAUAAUAAUACAUUUAUAUUUAAUUUAAAAUAUUUUUUAUUUUAUUUUAGAAGAAUAUGGGUUAAAUUCUUUUUUUAAAUAAUAAGCUUAAGAAAAAUAAUUUUUACUCAAUAAAUAAAAUUAAUCAUAAAAAGUCAUAACAACCUAAUAAAAAUAUAGGGGUAAAAUAAUAAUUUUAAAAUAUUAUUUAAGUUAUCCAAACAAAUUUGACUCUUCAUUCUCUCUCUUGAACCAAAUACGGUCUUUUAAGCGUUUGUCAACUUAUUUUUUUUUGCAAAAUAUCAAUAUUUUACUAAUAUUUUUAUCGAUUAUUUGCCAAUAUUUAUCGCCACGUCACCAAUUCUUUGAGUUUGACUUUCAAAAUUUUGAAAUGAUAUUUGAAGUCCAGUUCAGCCCAAAUCACUACACCCAUGAUUUUUCCCUUUUCUUUUUCUCCUUAAUUUUCACAUCACCCAACAACACUACUCUUAAUUCACACAAAUUUGAAGGUUUGGAACGAGACUUCUUCCUAAUUAUAUUGUAAUUAUGUUAUAAUAACCAUGUCGUAUUUGGAUUUAUUUAUUCAGUCCAUCUAAAUCUUUUGUUUAUUCAUGUAAAAAGAAUAUAGUUAUAAUCGAAUCCAUUUGUGACAUAUUCAUCUUUUAUAAAUUUAUUAAUUUUAUAUAUUUAAAAACUAUAAAAAUUAAAUAUAUUUUUUCAAUUAUGAAUAUCAUAUUACUAAAAUAUUAAAUAACUAAUUAACUUGAAAUGUUUUAUAUUUCAUUCAUUAUUUUAUAAUUACAACAUUAAGUGAAAUAAUAAAUAGGUUAAAAUAUAUAUUUUAUUUUAGUUAAAAAUUAUAAAUUGUUAUUGAGACGUAUAACUAUUAAAAUUCUACCCAUUUGACCAUCAAACAAACAACUUAAGUUUUUAGUCAUAAUUUAAGCUUCUGAUAAACUCUAUUUCCAUAAAUUAGAAACCGAAAUCAAUUUCUUCUUAGACUCAAAAACAUAAAGACAAUCUUUUAAUUCUAGAAGACAUCUAUCAUUUAAGAUAAGGGUAACAUAUCCCAUUGCCUAAACAACAACUCUUGCUUCAAAAGCCAAUGUCAAGUACAUAUCCCUAUCAUUCAACCUUUCCCUUAGCUAAAACCCCUAUAAAGAAUUAUAAACAUAAUCAAUGGCUCCAAAAUUUAUCCACCAAGAGUUAGUGGAAUCCAACACUAAACAUAAUUCAACUAUAAGAGAAUGAUGCAUAGUUGACUAUCUCUUCAAGAACUAAGGACAUUCCUUCUUCUUCUAAUGGCAUUUUUUACCACAAAGGAAACACUUGUCAUGACCCUUACUCUUCUUCUUCUUCCCCUUAGCCUUAAACUUCCCCUUCUGCUUGAUGAACUCUAUAGUGUUCUUCUUAUUUUGGCUAGAAAAACCUAAAGAACCCUUAACUGCCAUAUAAAUACCUCUCUGGUCCUUGAGAAUUCCCUCAGUCAUUUUGUGUUCUCUCAUUAGUUCAAUUGUAGUUUAAGAAAAAUAAUGUUUUUUAUUUUAUUUUAUGUGAUUGAACUUGGAAUGAAUUUCCAAGUUGCAUACAUACUUGGGUUGAGAUCAAGUCAUAACGUAGUUUAAGAAAAAGAUUUUUUAUUUUUUAUGUGAUUGAACUUGGAAUGAAUCUCUAAGCUACCUACGUAUCCAAGAUGGGAUCAAGUUCUAACAUAGUCACAAUGCAGUUCAAGAUUUUUUUUUUUCUUUUUUUGUGCUCUAACUUUUGUCAAGACUAAAGAUCUUAAUCUUGCAAGCAUGUCCUAACUUUUGUCUAGGUCACCUUUCCAAGUUUUCAACUUAGCAAACAUUUUUUUUUUUUGUUCUCUAACGUUUGCCAAGACAAAAGAUUUUAAUCUUGCAAGCAUGUCAUAACUUUUACCUAAGUCAGAUUUUUAGGUUUUCAAUGUGGUGGAUUUUUUUGUUUUUUAUUUUUUAUUUUUUAUUUUUUGUGUCGUAGGCAAUUUAGCUCAUACGGCCCAGAAGCGAUGUGUAGUUUGUUGGGAUUCAACCCUUAAAAGCAAAACAUGAUGUAACAAAGUUAGACUUAACUAUCCCCUUGCUAUCAUUUUGGUGUAUUAACAUUGAUUUAAACAUUCAACUCAUAUUUUACAUUGUACAUGACUUAGGUGCAUUAGGAGUUGCUCAUAAGAUACAUGGAUUCCUUGUAAGUAGAUGAGUUAUCCAUAGUCAGUUCAUGGAUUUGGGCAAUCUAGUAGAGACUGUAAUGCACCACCUCUUAAUUGAAGAGAUGACUUGUCUUGACAGUUGGGAUAGGUUUCCUAUGGUGAGUGCACUAGUAUAUAUGAUGCACAUUGGAUAGGACCUACGGUAAAUCAUGAGCAAAGCUAUCAAUUGUCAUGAUUCACCAAGUUACGAUACUGCAUGGACUCUCAAUCUUGAGAGGACAUUGAACCUGUGCCAAAAUCAACAAAAAGCUUUCACCUAUAGAUGAGACCUUAAAGUGAUCAUAUAUCCCUAUGGAUUGAGUCACUAUUGAUGAAGGUUGGUGGUAAUAGGUAUUCUCAAUAGAGGCACCAUGAUAUCUCAUGAGAUUGAGACGGUGUGUCCCCUUGGGUGAUACAAAGGACAUGUGAUCAUAAAAUCUGUGACCAUAGUAAUUCUUUUAUUGAAAUUUGACAUAUACCCCUUCGAGCUAGAGUAUGUCAGUUGAUUACAUAAUAAGUGGCAUCUAUAACUUAAGGAUUUGAGAGGUAAUCUUGAUAGGUGAUAGCACUACCUUGUUAGAUUAUGGACACCAGUUCAUGGGGAAUCUACAUGCAGUGGAUGAUAUGUCACGAACGCGAGCUUCAUAUCGUUGUUAUUAACAUAGGAUACUGGAGUGCAAUUGAUUCUCUUUAGUAGAAUGUUGAAUCAACUUCAAAAUGGAUUAUGAGGGAGCCAAUACUCCUAUGGGUCUUAAUGGUCCCCACUCUGAGCUCAUAUACCAUGAUGACACAGUUUAUGAGGGUUUGAUUGGCUUUAUGUUCAUUUUUGUGCAUAAGGGCAUUUUGGUAAUUACACAAGGUUACAUAGGGGAUAGUCAAUAAGGUCUUUAGAUUGGGCCAAUUGAUUAAUUAGAUGACCUUAUGUGGUUAAUUAAUCAAUUAUGAUAUGUUUAGGCUAGAUUAAAUGACCCAAGCCUUGAUGAAUUUAAGUCACUUAAGCCUAGCAGAUAACCUUAUAAAUACCCUCUUAUGGGUUAGGGUUUCCUAAUGACUUUCAGUUAAUCAUCUUCCAUCCCUAGAAAGAGAAAGAGAGCCAAAUCUUUCUCCCUUCCAUUGCCCACACUUUGGUAUGCCAAGAUCAUGGUUCAAGUCACUGGGAGGAAGAUCUUGGGUGUACAAGACCUUCGGACUCUUUAAGUUUCUUCUUCGUUGGAUGAAUUUUUAUUUGGGACACAUCUAGAUCAUAAGUAUGUGUUAGAAAAUUUGGCUAAUUCAACUUAAGGUAAUCACUCUAGAGGAGGGGUGAAUAGGGUGAUGAUCUUUUUUUACAAAUUUAAAUUAUGUGAAUGCAAGAGACAAUUAUACUAUGCAAAUAUAUAGUAAAACCAUAUAAAAAUAAUUGCAUAUAAAGUACAAGGGUAGAAAAUAGAGAAUAUAAACACAAGAUUUUUAUAGUGGUUUGGUGCAACUCGGCCUACAUCCAUUCUCCUCUAGCUUCAAUCCCAAGUUUGAGGUUCCACUAAUUCAAGGCUUCCAACCUAACCCUUCAAGCAAUACAAUUGGAUUAUGGUUCCAAUCAAACCUUUUGGACUUUUGGCUCUAAGCACCUUUUACAAUCUUUGAUUCGUGCCUAACUGGUGUUUGCCCUGUUGAUUGGUGUUCAAUCAACUGAUGUGCUUUGAUUUCAGUCCUCAGACGAGAGUAAUCAACAAAAUUUAUAAACCUAUUUCACCAUAUACUAGGGUAGCAUUAGCUAGCAUAGCAUAGUGGCUCUAGGAUCGUCCACAGGGAUGGGUUUUCAAAUUACAAUUGAUAUUAGUUCAAAAACUGAAUUGGUGUUUUUUCUUUUCAAGGUUAGCUUUAAAAGAAAACAUAAGUAUGUGUGAAAAGGUUGGUUUUAAGUGAAACCAAAAAUAAAGUAACUGAAAUUACUUACAAAGAAAAGUGCUUCUUGGAGUUUUAGAUCACUAGGCUCAAGUUCCUUAUACAAAAAGAGAGAUUCCGAUCACUUGGAUCUUUUCCUAGCAUUGGGGAUUUAACAUAUAGUUAUUUCCCGAACCGGUGCGGUACAGAUGCUUCCCCUUAAUGGUUUCAAACACUAAAUCUCUAUCACUGAAUCAUCUUGUAAUGGUUCAUACCUCUCACCUGGUAUUGGUCAUUUAAGGUGAUCAUUAACCUUGGAUUACCCGUCAAAAGCUCGCAAAAGAUAACUAAUGAAUGUCUCCUAGGAGUCCAAAAGCUUACCAAGUGUUGGCUAUUCUAGAUAAUCCUACCUUUAAACCAUCUCCCAAAAGCUCGCAAGAGAUAAACUAGUGGAUCUCAAUGGACGGAGUCCACUUGCCUUACCAAGUGUUGGCCCAAGUGAUUUUAAGGGAUUUUAAGUUAACUAAAAAGAUAAAAACCAUUAACGGGUCACACUUUCUCUUCAUUAAAACCUGAAACAAUGAAACUUCCACUUUUGUAUACGAAACCUUACCUAGCUUCCUUCACUCCAAGAAACAAAAAGCCUAGCCACUCAUCCUCUAGGAAAACAUCCUCAGAGUUUGAUUUGGUAGAAAUAAAAAUAAAAGAGAAAACCAAAUGUGAAGGUAAGGCCGAGCAGAGCUCUGUGUAUUACUUUAUGAAAAACUAUACAAAAUUUGUCUCUAAGAGAAACUCCCCCGAGAUCUCUUUUAAAAGAAAAUUACAAUAGAUAUCAUAUAAAGAGGCUAUUCACCCCUCUUGCUAACUUCCCAACCAUGAAAACUUGUCAAUGGUGGGUUACAAGGAGAAAAUAGGGAUUUACACACAAAUAUUUGAAGAUAAACAUCAAACUGAGUCGGUGCGCAAAUAUCUCAGAUUACAAGUGGAUUUCGCAAGUUCAAACGCAACUUGCAAAAAUUUUGCAAGUUGAAAUUAUGGUUUCGCAAGUUGCGAAAUUGUCCUGCAACUAAUCAGCUCUCUGUCCUACAACAAUUCCUUUCCUCUUCCUAUUUCGCAAGUUGUGAGAAUUUCGCAAGUUGGAUUCCACAACUUGCAAAAUUGUUGGAUGGUUGAUUUCUUUUGUGAUUUUCUUCCUUGCAUCCUCAUUUGGCUUUGGCAAAGGGUUAUGAAGCUCCAAAGCUUAGUUUCUUCAUGAAUUUGAGCUUCAACUUGCUUUGCCAUGAACUAUACAAAGAUCUCCCUCAUUCUUGGAUUGCUUUGGUGAUAAAAAAGCUAUGAAAAACACCAAAACUUAACACAAUUUGAUUAGAAACGAUUGUAAGGGUCUUUAACAUGCCAAUUGAGUUAAAAGGUAAUAGCUACUACUCAAAAGUGUUUAAAAGAGUUAAUUACAAGCUAUAAAAUGACCCUUUUUGAAGUUCAACCCCUUAAGUGAUACCCCUUAAGUGAUACCCCUUAAUUCAAGAGAUGUCUUACUCUUAAACAACCCCUUAAGUGAUACCCCAUACUUGAGAUUCCCUAAGUGAUGCCUCACACUUAGAUUUUUCAUCUCAAAGAUUUACAAAUGAAGAUAGGAAAUAAUCUCACAAAAUCUUAAUACAAAACAUUAGGCUCAAAUGAUACAAGAUAAACUAUGAUUGAAUGGUGCACUAAUAAUAUGCAAGUUUUAAAACAAUGAGUACUAAAAAACACUCUCCUAAGGUUCAAAUAUAUUCAAGAAAGAUUUAAGAAGGUUAAACUCUUGAAACAAUAAAGAUUGAAACCUUUUUAUGGAGGAGAAAUGCCAAACUAGUUGUUGGGGGUUUGUCCAGUCGAGUUCUGGUUUGACCGGUUCACUAACCGUUAGCAUUUAAUGCAUGAUAGGUGAUCAUUGGGCCUUGACCAUCCCUCGACCAGUACUCAACCGGAUAAAGUUCAACCUUAAUCAAUCGAAUAAGCAUUCUAGAAUAGAGAGAAGGUUUUUGCACCUUUCAAUCAGUUGAGUUGAACAAAUAGACGGAUUCCUUAUCCAGUUCAACCGGUUGAGCCAUUUUUGGCUCAACAAUCAUCAUUUUCAACUUAAAACCUUUUAAACAAGUUUAGAAAGCAUUUGACACAAGGAUUUAGUUGAAAACAUUAAAUCAUCCUAUUUUUAAAAGAUUUAAAACAAAAUACCUCUUGAAUGAUUUUGGUGUAUAAGUAAAUAAUGUAAUGCAUGAAAAACCCAGUGCGCCAACAACCUUACAAAGAGAUCUUAUGAGGCUUAGGUAUUGAAAAACACUUCUCUUUAAGGCAGACAACAUCGUGUGAAUACCAAAGGGGAACUCUACGUUCCUAGGGAAAGAUGCCUCGUCAGUACGUCUUGAGGUUGUUCACUAACUUCGGGGUUACCGGCUUUGAGAGGAGCCCUUUGAUGACAUUUGGGCAUGCAACUCUUCAUUUUCUUCCUUGAUUCGCCUUGUUUGGUGGAUCAAAGAUUGCAUAUGCCAGUCAUUUUUGCACUAGGUUCUCUCCAUGCUUUCACGCCAGCCAAAGUAGCUUUCGUUACCCAUAGUUGAGGAUCGGCUUCUAAAGGGUACUAACAUCCUUAGUCAUUCCCACAGAUGACACCAAUGUUGGUUCUGAGUCGGCUGAAGUCAAAUUCAUCCAACUUAACGGAAGUUUGACAACCUUCCUCCAUUUUUUGUGCCUCUUAGAGAAUCCACCUAGCAGUAAUGAGAUUGGGCGAACUCCUUUCUUGCACAAAAGAAUGUUCAGAUGAGUACUUCGGGUACGCCCUUCGAAGCUUAAGUGAGGCAAAAAUAGCUCAAACUACUUAAUGAGAGAGAGUGGAUAGGUGAAUAUGUGCCUACCUUGUUCGUGCUUUUUGAGGGGUUUAUAUAAUGUUGAUGAGAAUGCCACUAUAGUGCUUACUAGACACUUUAACUUUCUUCUAUAAUGAUGAUUGUCUUGCAGGCGGUUGGGCAAUCAUCAAAAUUUUGGGUGGCUGAUAGGUGCCAUCAACUAACGUGCCAUGAUCUUAGACCAUGCAGUAACCUGUUCCCUCAGUCUGUUGAUGGCCUAAGGUUAUGUGCAACAAUUAAUUGACAUGGACUUGAGGGCUAGAAGAGGUCCCAUCGGCCGUUCACAUGUCAAGUGUGAAUGAUCACUCAUGCUAGUGGGUCUUGAAGAUUUGACUAGACAACCUUACCUAUUUGGGAGGUCCAACCUCCCAUUGCCGUUGUUUUGGCCUUAUAGGAGAAAAGGGCUUUCUCAUGUAUGGUGCUAGAGGGACUAGUCGUGAUCCAGAUGAGUUGCAUACCCAUGCUAGAUGGUCGAAGUGUCCGGGUUGGAAAUGGAGGGAAGCCUCCCACAAAUAUGAGGGAGCCUUAUGAAAACGGAUCCUUAGGGCUUAAGAAGGGGUUUUCAAUUUUAAGGUUUGCCUUUUCACCCAAGGAUGUGAAUGGGAAGAUGAGGCGAAGUUAAAAGAUUGGUGAAGCAAAGUGAGGGCAAGGUAGGGUUUGAAUAAAGGAAAGUAUACACUAUUAAUGAAGAUGAUAAUCUCUAGAAAGAAAAACUAAGGUAAACUAGGGCUUUAAUAAUAAUUUUCAAUCUACACUAGUGAAGAGGAUAUCUUCGAAAACCAAAGUUAGGGCUUCAAUAACGAAUUUCAAUCUACAAUGGUGAAGACAAUAAUCUUCGAAAACCAAAUCUAUAAUGAUGAAGAUGAUUGAAAACUAAAUCUAUACUAGUGAAGACGAUUGGAAAGCAAAUCUACACUGGUGAAGACAAUGAAACCAAAUGUAGGUCUUCUAAACUAAACGCUUUUAAGGAUUUUCCUUUUUUUUUUCCUUUGUUUUCAAGAAAGGCAAACUCUUUAGAAAACUAAAAAAACUAAUGCAUUCUUAGAUCCAGAUCACUAUUUCCAACAUGGUAUUUGGAUUGCCAGCUUGCAUUUUUUAUUUUUUUAUUUUUUUAAUAGUCAUUGGCAUUUUAGGGAUUAUUGAAGGAUAAUAUCAUUCAGCUCAAUUUCCCAAAUUAGUUAGGUCUUACACUCAAAUGUGAAACUUAUAUGGAUGUUAGGCCAAUUAUCAAACUCAUCUGCCCUAAAACAUAAUUUCCCUUUUUUAAAAUAGUUGUUAAACAUCUAUCCCAAACACGUUUAACCCUUUGAAUUGCUUGUAUGUUAACCUUGUUUCCUUUUCUUCAUGCAACAUGGCUUAUUGAUGGUUGCAUUGAAUCAUUAUCAUUCACCAAUUCCAUGCAACUAUGGACUACAUUUCAAAUCCCUCGAACAUAAAUGGUAAUUCCAAAACAACUCAAGUAUAAUCUUUUCAACCCUUUCAAAUGAUUUAAUUAAUUGAUUUUUGAAUAUAUUCAUAUAUUUUUUUGAGCAAUUUUUAGGCAUAUAACAUAAAUCUCUUUUUUAUAUAUAUAUAAAAGGUUUUAUAUUUUAUAUUACAAUUUCCUUUUGUUUUUUCAUCUAAAAAACAAAACAUAAAACCUUAAUAAACGAGUUUUGUCACAAUCCCUUAACAAGUAAUCUAUUUUUUAAAUUACUUUAACAUUUUUAGAUAUAUUGAUUCAAUCUAAUUUACUUUUAAUAUUUUUUAUAAAAUAUUUUUACUUUAUAUGACUAUAAAUUAAUUACUAUUGAUUGCAUAUUAUAGAAUAUAUAUUCUAAAAUAUAUCUUAUUGACAAUAUAAUCAUAAGAUGUUAUAUCCAUAUCCUAACAUAUUAUAUACUUUUAUUUUGUGCAAUUAGCAACAUGGUGGGAAGUGGCAAGCAGCUUAACGGAAAUGUCAUGUGCCAAUGUGCCAUGCGUGUCCCUUCCCUUAGUGAGUCUGAACUGCUCCAACAUUUCCGACAUGUUAUUUUUUACUUAGCUCUUAAGUAUUUUCGUCUCGUUUUCGUUAACCCCAUCACAUUUCGCCACAUGGAUCUAAGCCUCAUGGUCCUUUCGUUCGUACAAUGAAUGUUCCCCCAAUUCCUUAUCUACACUAAAACUCCAUACUCGCCAUCUACUCAACCACUUCUCUACUCUAGAGUUUGGGUCCUUUAUCUCUGCACGUGUCUAUGGCUUUUCACCCCAACAAGUAUGGCAUUACAAGGGCAAUAUCGUCAUUAAAGACCCAAAAGGGAAACCAAUGGCAUUAUCUUCCUUUUGGUCUAUUCUAUUUAUAUUGUAAGUUAUUCGUGAUGACUUCUCCCAUAAAAGCUAAAAACCACUCCAAUAGAGCACACUUCACUUCUUCAUUUUUUUUUUUCCAGAUAAGCUCAGAAAGCCCAGCUCAUCCCUCAACUCCCCGAUGGGUUUGAUGAAUGUUCUUAAAUUCUCAACUGCAUGCUUUGAUCUUCUUAUCUGGUAUAUUGUCCACGCAUUUUCUUGUCAUUGGAAAAUUUUGGAAAAUGAAAUGGAAUUCUAUGUUUGAUGACAAAACUGGGAUUUGCUUUGAUUUCUCCAUGUUGGUUUUAUCCCUUUUGUUUGAAUUGUCCACAUUCUUGUCAUUGGUUGUUAGUUAUUUGUUUGGAUUUCUACUUGUAGGCCUCUGUUUGCACUGGGUUAUCCUCUAUAAAUCUUGGUCUUACACACCAAGAUAUGAUGAUUCAUUUACUCUUUUCUUGUUCUAUGAAUUCUUAGUUCUGUUACAUUUAUUGGGUUGGAAAACUGAAAAAGGAAAGGAUUAUUCGUUAUUAUCAUAAUAAUCAUCAACGUCAUCUCAAUUAUUCACAGAUGUGCAUCAAUUCAGGUAAUUGAGACUAACUCGAUCUCAGACAUUCAGAAGUUGGUGGCAUAUUGGGUUCUAUUUUCCUUGAUUUCACUUUUUGAUCGUACUUUUUCCAAGCUCCUUGAAUGGUAAUUUUGUUCAACUUCAUUCCAUCAUAUGUGGCUCUAUUUGUUUCAUUUCUUUGCCCUUCAGGAAUUUGGAGUUGCCUUUUUUAGUUUUCUUCCCUGUGAAAAUAAUCGAGAUGUUUAAUGUUCCAAGCCUCCAUGUAUUUUAUUUUCCUUCAUUUCUCUGCUUUGAUAAAUCCCCAUGAUUUGAUCAGCAAAAAGGCUAUAACAUUUGACAAAGAAAUGCUUUAUUUUGGUUUUUUAAGUACAACAAUUUUCAUUUGGAGAAAUGGUCUAAAGGGUAUCGGUGUUUGGAUGAAUCAUGGAAUUUUCUCGCUAAUUUGGGAUUUAUUCUCAAUUUCAAUAUCAUUGUGGAUAUUUCAAAAAUUAAUGAAAUAUAUAUGAUGGAAUGUGAUUUUCUUGUUUAAGAAAAGUUUUUCUUUAAAAAUUUAGGUAACCCUGACCUACCUUAUUGUGCUACUCGAAACACAAAACAAAAGUACAAGUAAUUUAGUAACUAAAUUGCACACUUUUUGAUAGUUCAAGGAAGUGGUGUUAGCUUUGGAAAUAAGAUGGAUCUACUAGUUUUUAUUUCUCAUCUUUAUAGGGAACUUUCCAUAAUAUAGCUUAUAAAUACCAUAAUCACAGUGAUGAAUAAUUGUCUUGUUUGAAAGCAUGGUUGCACUUAUUUGCAUGGAAUUUGUCUGCGUUGAAAUUAAAUUAAGCUUUAUGCAUCAUUUGGAUGCUGAGAAACAAAUGAAAAUAGAAAAUUCAAAAUUUGACAAGUUUGUGUAGGGAAAUUGGAUCUAAUCUCUUAAUCGAAGCUUAAUUAGGGCAAAUGUUGAUCCUCUUUGGACCUAUUGAAAGCUCUAAUCUGUGCACAAUUCUAAUGUUUUUGUUUCCUUAAUUUCUUUUUCAACUUUUCAACAAAGCAUCAAUUUGCUAUAAUAAAUGAGAACCAACUUGACGAUGAGAAAAAUGACUGGUGAUGAUGUCAUAGAGAAUCGCAGAUGAGAACAACCAAAAAUACUAGGAUUGGUACCACUGAUGGUAAUGAAGAAAACACAAAAAUGGUGCAAAUGGUGAACAGGAAACUCAAAAUGGAAUGGGAAAAGAAACCUAAACAAUAGUCUCCUAUAUAAAGCACACAACAUGUACAUCGAGGCAUCUGAAAGGACACGCUGCCUGAGAAGUCACUCUAAUUGAUGUGACUCCUCAUGACGUGGGUGGUGGACAUAUGUCCCAUGGUGCCAAAAAUUUCAAACACUCAAGCAACCGAAUACUUUCACUUAGUCAUUUAAAGCCUAGCUAGACUCAAUUGCAAGAAUUAAGGGCAUUGUGGGAUGCUCACCACCGUCUAUCAUGGUCCUCAAACACUGUCUGGUGUGAGACAUAUUGGCACAAGAGCCAUGUAGCUUCUCUAUCCACCCCAAGAUACUCCUAGGGUAGCAAACGAACACAAUCCGACCAAACACUAUGCAUUCCUACCCUACAAGCAUUAAUUUCAAUGAGCAAUAAGUGUAUUAACACAUUAAUGAAUGCAACCGUUAUAACGCUAAAACGCCAUACUUUAAGGUUCAUCAAGACACAACAACCAUUAUGGGCCGACAAUUAUUGGCGUUAAAUAUGGUAAUGCGCAAUCAAAGGCUCAAUUAAGGCCCUUUAGAAGACGUUACUAUUGGGCAAAGAUAAAUAACCAUUUUUUACCACAAGAAAGUCUGAUGCCAUUUUUUUCACAAAAACUUUUGCUUAAGUCUUCCAUCUCUAACCUAAGCUUUGAAGGGGUGUACUUGGAAAACCUAUCCGAACAUUCCUUUAUGUAGGUGCAAUCAUCGUUUAUGUCACGCGAAGGCUAGUCAAAGACCUUUAUUGGUCGUGCACCAAUAAAUCUAUUUAGUAUAUCUCAUUUAUCCGUUCAAGUGAGAUGAAGGAGUGACCUAAAGAUAGAUUGGAAACAUCAUAGUUUCUUAUAUUGGUAAGGCAGCAACAACCUCGGCUAGUGCAUCAACCUGCUCGUUUUCCUCUAGGGGUACGCGUUUGAUAAACCAUUCAUUCAAUUUUUCUGUUCAAGUGUACCAAAGAGAGGUAAUGAGCCAUGCAUUCAUCUCAAGCUUCAUAUUUUAGUUAGAUUUGUUCACCCACUAGUUGUGAAUUGCUUUUGAUUUCUACUUUCAUGGUUGUGAGAGCUAAGGCUAGAUCGUCUCAUAAGAAUUGCUUCAUAUUUUGCCUCAAUAUUAGAUACUGGAAAGUUGAGACAGACGACUUGUUCAAUUUGCUCUCCUGUAAGGAAUUGUUGUGUUAGUCCUAUCCUAGCUUCUGAUGUUCUAGAGGCUUCGUCUACAUGGAGAACACGCCAUUGUUCUUCAUUGUUAGACCUUGUCCAUUUUUGGGGUGGUUCGACUAUGAAAUCAAUGAGAACUUGCUAUUUGAGAUACUAAUGAGGUUUGUACCGUAUGUAAUAUUCACUCAAUUUGAUUGCCCAAUUCACCAUUCGACUAGAUAGAUUUAGCUUGUGCAACGUGACCCACAACGGUUGAUUUGUCAAGACCGUUAUUUGGUGCGCCUGAAAAUAUGGACAAAGCUUCUUGGCAGCGAUCCGUAAGUUCAGAGCCAUUUGUUCCACUUAAGAAUAUCGUGUUUUUGUGUCAAUCAUAGCUUUUCUCACAUAGUAAAUAAGUCUUUGUUCAUUACUCUAAUUGUGUGGAAACAAUAUGACAUUGACAGCAAAGUUUGACACAACCAGGUACAUGUAUAACUCUUCUCUAGCUUCAAGACUACUUAAGAUUGGUGGCUUCGUAAGAUACUGUUUGAUGUCUUUAAAGGCAUGCUCACACUCAUCCAUCUAACUAGACAUCUUUGCUCCCUAGAGUUUGCUCAAGAAAGGUCUGAGCUUAUUUAUGAAGCGUGUUAUGAACCAACCUAAGGUGAUUAGACACCCAGUUAGACGUUGCACUUCCUUCUUGCUAGUAGGAGCAGGGAUUUCUAACACUACUUUCACUUGAGCCAGAUCGACUUCAAUACCCCCUUUGAGUCACCAUGAACACAAGAAACUUCCACUCACUUACUCUAAAUGCAUAUUUUAUUGGAUUAAGCUUCAUGUCAUACCUGCACAUUAAACUGAAUGCUUCUUCCAAAUGGAGGAGCUUCUUGGAACGAGUUAUUCUCUUAAUGACAAUGUCAUCGAUAUAGACUUCCAACGUUCGACCUAUCAAGGGCUUAAAAAUAUGGGUCAUCAACUGUUGGUACGUAGCUCCAAUGUUCAUUAACCCAAGCGACAUGAUCUUGUAAAAGUACAACUCCUUAUGUGUAAUAAAUGUCAUCUUCUCUUUGUCAUGUGGAAACAUUGGUAUCUGGUGGUAUCCAAAAGAAGCAUCAAGAAAAGACAACAUUCCAUGCCUGGUUGUGGCAUCGACUAUCUAAUCUAUCUAGAGCAAUGGGAAGCUAUCUUUCAAGCAGACUUCAUUCAUAUCCACGUAGUCUGCGCACACCUGCCAUUUUUCUCCUUUCUUGGUACCACUACCACAUUUGUUAACUAGUCCAAGUAGGUCACCUCCUUGAUAAAUCUUCCUUUUAAUAGCUUCUCAACUUCUAUCUAGAUAAUUUUUUGAUGAUCCAACUAGAAACGUCAGACUUUAUAUUGUAUGGGUCGUGCUGUAGGAAGAAGGUUCAACUUAUGAGAGCUCACCGCUAGGUCUAUUCCAAGCAUUUCCGAAUGAAUCCACACGAGGAUAUCCUUGUUUUUACAAAGCAUUUCACCAACAUUACCACAUUCAUCCCUAGUUAGCAAAAAAUUAGCGUAAGUCAUCUGCUUAUUAUUUUUCGACAAAGAUAGCUAUUGUAAUAGGCUGAUUGCCAAUGAGUCUCUAUCCUCUAGUUUUCCUUCGACCUAAUUCUAUAAUUGUUAUUAGCUCUCUCUUGAUGAUUUGAGUUCAUCUUUAGUUGGGCCUGAACUCCAUCGCCACUUAGUAACACUACUAGGUGGCUAAUUGGAUUCCAUGUGGAUCCACUUACCCAAAUUCUGUCAGGUAGCUCACCAUCUUAUGAUAGGUGGAUGGAAUAACUUUCAUCUUAUGUAGGUACGACAACCUUAUGAUGGUGUUGUACGACGGUAAAUCCUCUACUAUAGAAAAUCAUACGUUGAGAGUAGGCGGGUUGGCUUGGACAAGAAGUACCACGUCGCAUAGUGAUAUUGUGGCAACCCUAUUAAACCCAAACAAAAGUCGAACUAGAUUUUCUAAGGCAGAUGACGAACAUCCCAUUUUCCUGUAGGUUGACAUAUGCAAUAAAUUGGAAUGAUCAUUUUAGGAAGGAUCACUUGAUUAAUGUUAAUUGAAGGGAAAGUGAUUGGGUCAUUGACUGGUCGGGCACUUUCGACAGUAAAUGUGCACUGAACUGCACUUACUCUUUCCCUCCCUGUAGUCGCACAGAGCAUUCGUCUCCUUUGUUGUUUGGAGUGAUAUUUGUCAUCUACUAUUUCCCCAUGGAUAUAGUUAAUCACUACUCGAUGUGUUGUGGGAGAGUCAGGAACUCACUCUGACACUUCACGUGUCAUUUCUUUAUGUCCACCAGUUGCUCAGACAUACAACUUGAGAUGUCCGGUAAUGAUUAGUUUCUCCACCAAGUAGUGCAAAUUUUUGCACUCUUCUGUGGUGUGCCCAUGCUCCUUAUGAUAGAAUCAUCGCAAUCCUCGAUCAUGCUUGGACGAAUCAGUUUUGAUGGGCUCUAGCCACUUGAACUCGAGCAGCUCUCAAAUCAAGAGGAGAAUUCUAUCAUAAAAAAUGGUCAACGGGGUGAGCCUAGGCGAUUAUCAUUGUUGUUGUCUUUCUUGUCCUUGAUUAGUCUAUCUAGACUGGCUUGAGGGCUUUAAGCUCUUAGCCUUCUUUUUUAAUUGCUCGGUUUAUAACCAGGAUUUGUUGAGAGGUUACCUAAACAUCCUCCUCAAGCAUGACAUGUUUGCCCACUCGUCUAAAUAGGUCAUUCAUUGUAGUGGGCAACUUUUUGGCCAUGGACUUGAAGAAUUGAGUGCUUGGACUGAUGAUCCAUUUGAAGAUCUGCAGGAUAGCAUCCAUGUUGUAAGAUUCCAUCUAGAACACCGCUUGUCUGAAUCACUUCAUGAAGUCCCUUAGCGAUUCAUUCUCCUACAUCUGAAUGUUCUAUAAGGUGCUUAUAUUCUGCUUUUGGCGAGCAAAACAUAAAUAAUGGCCCACAAAGGCCUCUAAAACAUCUGUCAUCUGUUGUUGGAAGUGCAUCAGGUGAACAAAAGAGUCACCAUCCCAUAGUAAAUAGUAAAUUUGGGCACCGGAAACCCCUGGGCAGCUCAUAACUAAUGAUAUGUGGGUCAAACGACAUGAAGAGCAUGUCAUCCAAUCAUCUACUUAUGGAGUCAAGAGGGGCUUUUGUCAAUGGGUUAUUUGUCGAUUGUAGUUCUAGUAUUGAACAUUAAGGCAGACGGCUUGGUGAUGCCUCAUCGUUUGAUUGGCCUAAUUGUGCUUUCAAGGCCUCCAAUAUGCAUGGCGAUGCUAGUGUUCUUCUCUCCUGAUACCCAAGAUAGGCUUUCAGGGCAUCUGAGAGACGUAAGCCCCAUUCUUAACCCAUUUUCCAUUUUUCUCCAAUAGAGCUUGCAACCUCUUUCGCUUGAGUUCGAUCGACUACUGAAUGCACUAGUUCAAGUAAUGUUAGCGAACUGCUAGUAGACAAUCCCUCAUCCACUGUUUGUAGAGACGACUUAGUGUAUCAUUGAAGAACUUUCAUUGUUUGGCUUCAAACUACUCUUGAAGUCGUCUAUUGGUUGGAGGUACGAUGACUUUUUUAUCAGCACCCCAUAGCCACUUGUGCUCGUAGCUCUUGGUUCUCUUGCUGUAGUUGUUCUGCCUGUUGGACAGGGACUACAUAGGUUAUUCAUAUUCUUCUUGCUUUUUUUCUAUCUUUCCUUGCCAAGCUUGGAAUCGCUCGUCAACAUUUGCAGAAUGAGUUGCAGGAGGCGUGUUAACCAUCGUGUUUUUUAGGCAUUUGUGGUUGAUUCCCAUAGACAAUGCCAAUGUUGGUGCACGACCAGUAAAAAAAGGUGUUUGGCUAGUCUCCAUGUAACAUAGAUGACGAUUGCACCUGCACAAAGGAAUGUCUGAAUGGGUUUUUCAGGUACACCUUUCCAAAGCUUAGGUCAGAAAUGGAAGACUUAAGCAAGAGUUUUUGUGGAAAAAUUGGUAGCAUACUUUUCUUGUGGUUAAGAAUAACUAUUUAUCUUUGUCCAACUAUAAUAUCUUCUCAGAUGCCUUAAUUGAGCCUUUGAUUGUGCAUUAUCAUCUUUAAUGUCAAUGAUAGCCAACCCAUAAUGGUUGUUGUGUCUUGAUGAACCUUAAAGGUUGGCGUUUUAACCUCAUAAUGAUUGCAUCCAUCAAUGCGUUAAUGCACUAAUUGCCUAUUGCAAUUAAUGCUUGUUGGGCAAGAAUGCAUAGUGCCCGAUUAGAUUGUGUUUGUUUGGUACCCUAAGAGUACCCUGGGGUGGACAAAAAAGCCACAUGGCUCUUGUUCUAACAUGUCUCGACUAGACAGUGUUUGAGGAUCAUGUUAGAUGGUGAUGAGCAUCCCACAGUGAAGACGUAUGAUGAAAGCAAAGGUAGGGCUUCUAAACCAAACGCUUUUAGGGAUUUUUUUUUUUUUUUCAACAAAGUUGACCUCUUCAAGGAAAAAAAAAAAGGUUAAAAAAACUAUUGCUUUUUUGGAUCCAAAUCACCAUUUCCAAUGUGAUAUUUGGAUUUCCACCAUGUAUUUUUUUUUUUUUUAACAGUCAAGGACAUUUUAUGGAUUAUUGAAAGAUAAUAUCUUUCAACUUAAUUUCCUACAUUAAUUAAGUCUUAGGCUCAAAUGUGAAACUUAAGUGGUUGUUAGGCCAUCAAACCCAUCUGCCCUAAAGUAUAAUUUCCCAUUUUCAAAAUAUAUAGUUGUUAAACAUCUAUCCCAAACUAUUGUAACCCUUUGAAGUGCUUGGUAUGUUAACCUUGUUUCCUUUUCCUUAUGCAACAUGGCUAAUUGAUUGUUGCAUUGAAUCAUUAUCAUUCACCAAAUCCAUUCAACUAUGGACUUACCUUUCAAAUCCCUCUAACAAAAAUGGUAAUUCCAAAACAACUCAAGUCUAAUGUUCUCAACUCUUUCAAAUGAUUUAAUUAAUUGGUGUUUGAAUAUACCUCUUAUAUUUUUUUAGAGCAAUUUUUAGGCACAUAACAUAAAUUUCUAAUUUUUUUUUAGAAAAGGUUUUAUAUUUUAUAUUUUAUAUUACAACUUCCCCUUUUUUUUCCAUCUAAAAAACAAAACAUAAAACCUUAAUAACCGAGUUUUGUCACAAACCCUUAACAAAUAAUCUAUUUUCCAAAAAUUACUUUAACAUCUUUAAACAUAUUGAUUUAGUAUACUUUACUUUUAAUAUUUUUUGAAAAAUAUUUUUAUUUUAUAUGAUUAUUAAUUAAUUAAGAUUGAUUGGGUAUGGUAGAAUAUAUAUUCCAAAAUACAUCGUAUUGAGAACAAUAUCACAAGAUAUUAUAUCCAUAUCUUAACAUAUUAUAUACUUUUAUUUUGUGCAAUUAGCAAUUGGACGGAAGGUAGGGAGCCGGCUUAAUGGAAAUGUCGCAUCUCACGUGUGUCCCUUCCCUUACCAAGUCUCAACAAAGGAUGAAAAUAUCGGUAAUCACGGAUAUAUCGGUACUUCGAUUUUACGGAUAUAUUAGAUAUAUCAGAGAUAUAUUGACGGAUAUUUUGGAAAAAAAUAUCGAUAAGCCUAAAAUUGAUCAAAAUUUAUAAAAAUAUAAAAAAAACUUCAUAAAAAUGUAAUUAAAAGAAGGUCGUAUAAGUUACUCAUGUUGAUCAUGUGAUAUAUCACGAGAUAUAAUCGAUUUUUGGGAAUUUCUCACGAAAAUAUCGCGACAUUUCUUCCUUGUCUCGACUGCUCCAAGAUUUCCUAUACGCCCUUCUUCGCUUAGCUCUUAAGUCUUUUCUUCUCCUCUUCCUCAAACCCAUCACAUUUCGCCGCGUGGAGCUAAGUCUCAAGGUCCUUUUGUUCGUACGAUGUAUGUUCCCCCAAUUCCUCAUCUACCUUGAAACUCCAUACUCGCCAUCUACUCAACCACUUCUCUACUCUAGAGUCUGGAUGCUUUAUCUCCGCGAGUGUCGAUGGCUCUUCACCCCAGCGAGUAUGGAAUUACAAGGGCAAUAUCGUCAUUAAAGACACAACAGGCAAACCAAUGGCAUUGUCUUCCUUUUGGUCUAUUUUAUUUAUGCUGUAAGUAUUCGUGCUUGACUUCUCCCGCGUCUCUUAUAAAAACUAAAGAAAACCACUCCAACAGAGCACACUUCAAGAAUCUUCUUUUUUUUUUUCUUUCCUCUUUCUCUUUACAUAUAUACUGAGAAAGCCCAGCUCAUCCCUCAAUUCCCAGAUGGGUUUUAUGAAUGUUCUCAAGUUCUCAGCUGCAUGCUUUGAUAUUCUUGCCUGGUAUGUUGUCCACGCAUUUUCUCGCCAUUGGAAAUUUUUGGAAAAUGAAGUGGAAUUCUCUGUUUGAGGACAAACAUGGGAUUUUCUUUGAUUUCUCCCUGUUGGUUUUAUCUAUAUUCUUUGGAUUACCCACAUUCUUGUCAUUGAUUGUUAGUCAUUUGUUUGGAUUUCUACUUGCAGGCCUCUAUUUGCACUGGGUUAUCCUCUGUAAGUCUUGGUCUUACACCUCAAGAUAUGAUGAUUCAUUUACUCUUUUCUUGUUCUACGAAUAGUUCAGUUACAUUUAUUGUGUUGGGAAACUGAAAAGGGAAAGGAUUAUUCUUUAUUAUCGUAAUAAUCAUCAACAUCAUCUCGGUUCUUCACAGAUGUUCUUCAAUUCGGGCAAUUGAGACUAACUCAAUCUCAGACUUUCGGAAGUUGGUGGCGUAUUGGGUUCUAUUUUCCUUGAUUUCACUCUUUGAUCAUGCUUUUUCCAAGCUCCUUGAAUGGUAAUUUUGCUCAACUGCGUUCCACUAUAUGUGACUCUGUUUGUUUCAUUUCUUUGCCCUUAAGGAAUUUGGAGUUGCUUUUUUCAGUUUUCUUUCCUAUGAAAAUAAUCGAGAUGUUUAAUGUUCCAGGCCUCCAUGUAUUUUAUAUUCCUUCAUUUCUCUGCUUUGACAAAUGCUCACAAUCUGAUCAGCAGAAAGGUUAUAACAUUUGAAAAAGAAGUGGUUUAUUUUUGUUUUUUUUAAGUACAAUAAUUUUCGUUUGGAUAAAUGGUCUGAAGGGUGUUUGUGUUUGGCUGAGUUCAUGGAAUUUUCAAGCUAAUUUGGGAUUUAUUCUCAAUUUCAAGAUCAUUGUGGAUAUGUCAGAAAUUAAUGAAAUAUAAAUGGUGGAAUGUGAUUUUCUUGUUUAAGAAAAGUUUUUCUUUGAAAAUGCGGGUGCACCAGACCUACCUUAUUGNNNNNNNNNNNNNNNNNNNNNNNNNNNNNNNNNNNNNNNNNNNNNNNNNNNAUCAGAUUCAACUGUGAUAGCCCGGAAUUUAAUUCAGUAUUCGACUCUUCUGGGAACAUGUUGGUUAUGGUUUCUCUCUCACUGUCCUCUUCUUUACACAUGACUUUUCAGUUGAGGAGCACAAAGCCUAAUGUUGAAGUGAAAGAGAUCAAAGCACCUGCAGCACCGGAGAAAAAAGGGGAACAGGUAAGUACUCUAAUGUGGCUAUUUAAUUUCUAUGGAGGCAGAUCCCCAGAGAAAUGCUGUUCAUGUAAAUUACUGAUGCAUUUGAUUCAAUGGCCACGGUUUUAAAAGAAAAACCACUUUAUGUAUGUUUCUGUGAAUGAGAGAACAAGUUUAUGGAUUAAAUGAUAUUUUUUAUGGUGAAAUAAUCAAUAAUUUUCAAAAUAAUAAUACAUUCCUGCAUGUUUUUGCAAUUCAUGAAUUCCUUUUAUGAUUGAUUCUUCUCACCUUUUUUCUCACCUCAGUGGAAGUGUGAAGAGCCUAAUGUUGCUCAAAAAGAGAUCCAAGUAGUCAAAGUAACAGAGAUAAAAAAUGGGGGGGAUGGAGCAAAGAGGGUAAGUUUUGCUUUUUAUUUAUAAAGUAGGCUGUCUUCACACAAGGAUUAUUAUUAUUAUUAUUGUUAUUAUUUUAAGACAUGAAUGUUGAAUGAUUUUGGAAUUGUCCUUGAAUCAUGUGAAGUGUGAAUGGUCUAAUGCUGCUAAGGAGGAGGUCAAAGUGACAGAAGUAACACAGAGAACAUUUGGUGGUACAGCACAGUGGGUAAGGUUUCAUGUCAUAUUUAAAUGGCUCCUCAUAUUUCACUAGGAUUAAUUUUGCCCCUACAAACUAUUUGGCUACAAGUUAAGACAGAGUUCCAGAUGCUGAUAAAGCUGAGACAUAAGUAAUGAACGAAUUUAGACACAUGCACAACUCUUGUGUGAAACACAAUGAGAGUGGAAAAUAGCUAAGUUGAAAAAUGGCCAAAUACUAUUUUGUAGUUCCCCCUACCACUUAAGUAAUUUUUGUCAUCCUUUGUGAAUGGAAAAUGCAGUCCCUUCAGUAAUUCCAUUAUAUUCAUGACUUGGUGAAGCAUAUAACCAUUAGUGUCUUACCCUAAGUCGACCUUUAAUGAUGAUCCAUUGAGAUGGGUCUGACUUUUGUCAACCCUCUUAUUCCCUUGAUCAUAGAGGUGAAACUUAGGGGGCUUAACCCACUUUUCAAUCUUAUUGGAUAUAUGGCACGUGGUAUCCUCUUCAUCUUGAAAGAGUGAAGUGGUCAUACUCUUUCCUCUGAGUCCAUUGUGGCCAUGCACUUCAGGCUCAUUGGGCUGAGUGAAAGGAUUCCCUUCUGCUUCAAAUCAUAGAGAGAUAUGCCAUGGUCAGCCUCUUUAAUUCAAGGGAUUGAAGUACUCAAAUCCAUUUCUCUGUAUCCAUCUUAGUUCUGCAUUCAUGUCUCAUGGUUAACCAAGAAGAUCCAGCCUCCAUCCAUGAGAUCAGCAUCUGCAGGUUUAUGACACCACCCUUCCUUUGCAUAGGAAAGGGAUCAUUAAGCCAUGUGUCGGAUGACAGAAGUCAUCAUUCAGGUUAUCUUGAGAACUAAGGAAGUUGGAAUUCUAAUUAUUGCAUAUGGUUCUUGAUGUUUAGCCAAUAUACUAUAGGAUUUUAAGCAUCAUGCUCACGUGCAUUGUGGUUGCUUAUCAGCUAUAUGGUUUGCCAAAAUGAGGGACUGAUUAUGGUCAUAAGUACCUUUUUCCCAUUAAUUUCUUGCAUGUGCUCUGCUGAGAUUAUGUUUUUGACAGUCCAAAUCAGGGCAAACCAACAAACAGCUUUAUGUUAACUUUUACAAACUGCCAUAUUUUCAGGUUAAACAAACAGAGAUAAAUCUUGGUGAAACUAGAAGUAAUACAACCUGUGCUGUGGAGAUAAAAGAAAGGGCAGCAGCACUGGUGGCUGCAGAAAUUGAGGCAUGUAGAGACGAUAGAACCCCCAAGAUACCUCUUCAUGAGAAAGUCCAGAAAGAGUGGGCUUGUGCUGUGUGCCAGUUCACAACCCAAACUGAAGCGACCUUCAAUUCCCACCUUCAAGGGAAGAGACAUCAGGCCAUUUCUGAGCAGCUGAGAGCCAAAAAUCAGGCAACCAAAACCAAUUGUUCCCCAUCUGCUUCAAUGGCCAAGAAAUCUGAUCAGUCCACCAAAGAGGAGCAACCGAAGUGUACUUCCAAUCUGAAUUCCAAAAACAAUGGAAUCUCAGCUGCUUCAACAGUGAAGAAACUUGAUGAGACCAAAGAUGAUGAGCAACAAAAGUCUGCAUCUAGCAAUGGACCGAACCAGAAGAAUAACAAAAAGCAAGAGGUACAGACCAAUGAGCAAGGCCGUCAGAAGAACUUAAGGCAAACUGGUGAUGGAAUGAAAGAGUUGAGAUCAUGGUGCAAUAUCUGUAAUGUAAGCUGCACAAGGGAGCUUGACCUGGCCUCGCAUCUCAAUGGAAGGAGGCACUUUGAUAGGAUAAAGCAGCUGUCUGAAUUAUGGUGCAGUAACUGCAAUGUAAGGUGCAACAGUGAGGUUGAUAUGGCCUCUCACCGAAAUGGGAGGAGGCACUUGGAGCAGCUGAAGGAACGGUUAGGAUUAUGGUGCAGUAUCUGUAGUGUGAGUUGCAACAGCAAGGUGGACAUGGAUUCUCACCUAAAUGGGAAGAUUCACUUGGAUCAGAUCAAGGACCAGUUAAGAUUAUGGUGUGGGGCAUGUAAUACAACCUGCAAGAGUGAGCGCAACAUGGCCUUUCAUCUGAAUGGGAGGAAGCACUUAGAGAAGAAGGGGAAUACCUGAUUUGCAUGUUUCUUCAGAUUAUUGAUACUUACAAAUGGUUUUAGUUAGAAGCAUACAGGCCAGUGGGUGGUGGUCACAGAUGCCUCUAUUUUGUUGUAUGAAGUAAAAACAGUAUUUCCAUGUCCAGAAAUCAACCACUUGUUUAGUGCAUGCAUGGCUGGUUCAAAAUUAAACCUAAUUGUGAAUGACUAGGAGCAGGGAGGGAAAAAUUGAAGGGAAGAAUGUAAGAUUAUGGCUUCAUUUUUAUUUUUUCCUCUUCUGAAAAUUGUAAGAUUGUGUUAGGAGGAGCUGGAAUGGGUUCAAAUCAGGAAUUAAGACCCAGUUCCAAGACAUGGAAAGUGUCUUUAGAUUAUGUUAAGUUAUUUCCAUUUUUUUUUCUUUUCUAUUUUUUUUCUUUAUUUAUUGUAAGAGGGAGCAUAAAUGAAUUUUUAUUUUUUAUUUUUUUUUUCAGAAUAAAGAUGAAUUUGAUAAUUUCAAUUAUUGCGUUUGGAUGUAUUUCGGAACGUAAGAUUGAAAUAAUUAUUUGUUUUCAUUUUAGUGUUUGAUAAUAAUGAAAGUAUGAAUUAAAAAAUAAAUUGAUAAUAAUACUCUUACAUUUAAUUUAAAACAAUUUUUUAUUUUUAUUUUUAUUUUAGAAGAAUAUGGGUUAAUUUUAUUUAUUUAUUUUUUAAAUAAUAAGCUUAAGAAAAAUAAUUUUUACUCAAUAAAUAAAAUUAAUCAUACAAAGUCAUAAAAACCAAACCAAAAUAUAAGGGUAAAAUAGUAAUUUUAAAAUAUUCAUUUAAGUUAUCCAAAUGCAUUCCUACUCUUCAUUCUCUUGUACGAAAUACGGUCUUUAAGCGUUUGUCAAACUUAUUUCUUUUUUGGCAAUAUAUCAAUAUUUUAGUAAUAUUUUUAUCGAUUAGUUGCUGAUAUUUAUCGCCACGUCACCAAUUCUUUGAGUUUGACUUUCAAAAUUUUGAAAUGAUCAUUGAAGUCCAGUUCAGCCCAAAUCACUACACCCAUGAAAGGGAACGGCUGGGCCACCACACUAAUAUGGCCCAUACAUGGGACCUCGUAAAAGAAUACCCAUCUUCAAAAAUAGGGACCAUAUUAAAUUAUUAAUGUAGCUAUAGGAAGCAUUUGAGGACAAGGGUCAUGAUUUUUCCCUUUUCUUUUUCUCCUUAAUUUUCACAUCACCCAACAACACCACUCUUAAUUCACACAAAUUUGAAGGUUUGGAAUGAGACUUAUUCGUAUUUAUAUUGUAAUUAUGCUAUAAUAAUCGUGUCGUAUUUGGAUUUAUUUAUUAAAUCCAUCUAAAUCUUUUGUUUAUUCGUGUCAAAACAAUAUAUUUAUAAUCGAAUCCAUUUAUGACAUAUUCAUCUUUUAUAAAUUUAUUAAUUUUAUAUAUUUUAAAAUUAUAAAAAUUAAAUAUAUUUUUUCAAUUAUGAAAUCAUAUUACUAAAAUAUUAAAUAAUUCAUUAACUUGAAAUGUUUUACAUUUCAUUAAUUAUUUUAUAAUUACAACAUUAAGUGAAAUAAUAAAUAGGUAUAAAAUAUAUAUUUUAUUUUAGUUAAAAAUUAUAAAUUGUUAUUGAGACAUAUAACUAUUAAAAUUCUACCCAUUUGACUAUCAAACAAACAACUUAAGUUUUUAGUCAUGAUUUAAGCUUAUGAUAAACUCUAUUUACAAAAAUUAGAAACCAAAAUCAAAUUCUUCCUAGACUCAAAAACAUAAAGACAAUCUUUUAACUUUAGAAGACAACUAUCAUCUAAGAUAAGGGUAACUCAUCCCAUUGCAUGUACAACAAUUCUUGCUUCAAAAGCUAAUGUUAGGUACAUAUCCCUAUCAUUCAACCUUUCCCUUAGCUAAAACCCCUAUAAAGAAUUAUAAACAUGAUCAAUGGCUCCAAAAUUUAUCCACCAAGAGUUAGUGGAAUCUAACACUAAAAAUGAUUCAACUAAAAGAGAAUGAUGCAUACCUAACUGUCUCUUCAAGAACUAAGGGCAUUCCUUCUUCUAGUGGCUUUUUUUACCACAAAGGAAACACUUAUCAUGACCCUUACUCUUCUUCUUUUUCCCUUGCCCUUGAACUUUCCCUUCUGCUUGGUGAAUUCUACAAUGUUCUUCUUAUUUUGGUUAGAAGAACCUAAAGAACACUUAACUGCCAUAUAAAUACCUCUCUGGUCCUUGAGAAUUCCCUCAAUUGUUUUGUGUUCUCUCAUCAGUUCGGUUAUAGUUUAAGAAAAAAAAUGUUUUUUUUAUGUGACUAAACUUGGAAUGAAUGUCCAAGUUGCAUACAUACUCGGGCUAAGAUCAAGUCAUAACGUAGUUUAAGAAAAAAGAUUUUUUUUUUUUUUUUUUUUUUUUUUUUUUUGUGAUUGAACUUGGAAUGGAUUUCUAAGCUACUUACGUAUCCAGGAUGGGAUCAAGUUCUAACAUAGUCACAAUGCAGUUCAAGAAUUUUUUUUUUCUUUUUUUGUGCUCUAACUUUUGCCAAGACUAAAGAUCUUAAUUUUGCGAGCAUGUUCUAACUUUUGCCUAGGUCGCCUUUCCAAGUUUUCAAUUUAGCAAACAAGGUUUUUUUUUUCUUUUUUUUCUUUUUCUUUUUUUAGUUCUCUAACUUUUGCCAAGACUAAAGAUUUUAAUCUUGGAAGCAUGUCUUAACUUUUACCUUAAGUCGAAUUUUUAGGUUUUCAAUGUGGUGGAUUUUUUUUUUUUUUUUUUUUUUUUGUGUCGUAGGUAAUUUAAGCUCAUAUGGAUUGGAAGCAAUGUGUAGUUUGUUGGGAUUAAGCCCUUAAAAGCAAGACAUGAUGUAAUAAAGUUAAACUUAACUAUUUCCUUACUAUCUUUUUGGUGUAUCAACAUUGAUUUAAACAUUCAACCCAUAUCUCUUACAUUGUACAUGAUUUAGGAGCAUUAAGAGUUGCACAAAAGAUACAAGUUAUGGGUUCCUUGUAAGUAGAUGAGUUAUCCAUAGUCAUUUCAUGGAUUUGGGCAAUCUAGUAGUGACUAUAGUGCACCACCUCCUAAUUUAAGGGAUGACUUGUCUUGGCAGUUGGGAUGAGUUUCCUAUGGUGAGCGUACUAGUGUAAAUGAUGCACAUUGGACAGGACCUAUGGUGAAUCAUGACGCAAGGCUAUCAAUUGUCAUGAUUCACCAAGUUACUAUACUACAUGGACUCUCAACCUUGAGAGGACAUUGAACCCAUGUCAAAAUCAAUAGAAAGUUUUGACCUAUGGGCGAGACCCUAAAGUAGUCAUAUAUUCCUAUGGAUUAGGUCAUUGUUGAUGUAGGCUGGUUAUAAUAGGCAUUCUCAAUAGAGGCACCAUGAUAUGUCAUGGGAUUGAGAUGGUGUGUCCCUUUGGGUGAUCCAAAGAACAUGUGAUCAUGAAAUUUGUGGCCACAGUAAUUCCUUUAGUGAAAUUUGACAUAUGCUCCUUGGAGUUAGAGUAUGUCAAUUGAUCACAUAAUAAGUGAGAUCUAUAACUCAAGGAUUUGAGAGAUAAUAUUGAUAGGUGAUAACACUAACUUGUUAGAUUUAGACACCAGUUUCAUGAGGAAUAUGCAUGUAGUGGAUAGUAGGUCAUGAAUGCGAGCUUUGUCUCGUUGUUAUUUACAUAAGGUACCGGAGUGUAGUUGAUUCUCUUUAGUAGAGUGUUGAAUCAACUUCAAAAUUGGAUUAUGAGGUAGUCAGUACUCCUAUGGGUCUCAAUGGUCCCCACUCUGAGCUAAUAUACCAUGAUGACACAAUUUAUGAGGGUUGGAUUGACUUUAGGUUCAUUCUUAUGCAUAAGGGCAUUUUGAUAAUUACACAAGGUUGCAUAGGGGAUAAUAAAUAAGGUCUCUAGAUUGGACUAAUUGAUUAAUUAGAUGGCCUUAUGUGGUUAAUUAAUCAAUUAAGACAUGUUAGGGCUAGAUUAAGUGACCCAAGCCUUGAUGGGUUCAAGUCACUUAAGCCUAAUGGGUAACCGUAUAAAUACCUCCUUAUGGGUUAGGGUUUUCUAAUGACUUUUAGUUAGUCAUCUUCCACUUUUAGAAAAAUAGAGAGAGCCAAAGCUUCCUCCUUUCCACUGCCCACACUUUGGUAUGCCAAGAUCGGGAAUCGAGUCAUCGAACAAAAGAUCUUAGGUGUACGAGACCUUUGAACUCUUUAGGCUUCUUCUUCGUUGGAUGGAUUUUGAUCUGGGAACAUCUAGAUCACAUGUAUGUGUUAUAAUAUUUGGUUAAUUCAACCUAAGGUAAUCACCCUAGAGAAGGGGUGAAUAGGGUGAUGAUUUUUUUUUGCAAAUUUAAAUUAUGUGAAUGCAAGAGACAAUUAUAUGCAAAAUAUAUGGCAAAACCAUAUAAAAACAAUUGCAUAUAAAGUAAAAGGUUAAGGAAGAGAGAAUAUAAACACAAGAUUUUUAUAGCGGUUCAGUGCAACCCGACCUCCAUCCAUUCUCUUCUAGCUUCAAUACUAAACUUGAGGUUCCACUAAUUCAAGGCUUCCAAUCCAAGCCUUCAAGUAAUACAAUUGGAUUAUGGUUCCAAUCAAACCUCUUGAAAUUUUAGUUCUAAACACAUUUUACAAUCUUCAAGAGAUACCUCACUCUUGAACAACUCCUUAAGUGAUACCUCACACUUGAGAAUCCCUAAGUGAUACCUCACACUUAGAUUUUUCAUCUCAAAGAUUUAUCCGCUCUGCACCCACCUCCCGAGUAUAUGCUUCAACAGGAAUCACACAAGGGUAGAUUGAUACAAUAGAAACCUCUGGUAAAAUGCCCGCUCGUAACCCAGCAGAUAAAGUACAUUACAUAGUCCGUUUUAGGGAUUGGCUACUUACCCAUUCAGUGACUUUGGCACUGGACGUUCCCAAAAUGGGUACUAUCGGGUCGGGUGAAUUCAAUAAUAGACGCCUGUUGGCAUUCCAGCCUUCCUUCUCCUUUCAGGGCCUAUCCGAAAGAGAAUCCAGUACUUCUUGGUCAAAUGAAGAUAGGAAAUUAUUAGCCUAAGGACUCUCCUAAUCGGGUUUUGAUGAUAACAAACCAUGAUUAAAUGACUAAUUGGUUUAAUGGUUAAGAAUCUCAAGCAUAAACUCGAAAAUUCAUCAAAUGACCAAAUGGAUACAAGAUCGAGACAUUUGGAAGACUUGUGAUCAUAGGAAACUAAUGUAAGAUGAAUGCAUGAGUGCACUUAGGAUUUUCAUACCGUUUCAUACAAUUUAGAAAACUCAGUUUAUUCUUUAAAACUUCAAUUUCAUUAAAACCCGAGUUUUAACAAUUGUACCUCAGGCAAAAUGUUUUAAAAUUGGCAUAAUAAUUCACCUAAAAACCUUGCCUAAGUGUUAGGAAAGAAAGGAAUUGAAAAAGAUAGGUUUUCGGGGCCAAAAGGCUCAACCGGUCGAGGCUAUGGCCAACCAACUCAACCGGUUAGGGAAUCGGUCGACUGGUUACCCUUGUCCAGUUGAGGUCCGAUCGAAGGAUGCACAAAAUUUUCUCUCUCUCCCAGUAGCCUUCUCUUCCCGGUUGAGGUUAUUCUCUUCCCUGUCGAGGUCCGGUAUAGGCAACGGUAACCUGUCAAGCAUUAAAUGCUCCAACGGCUAGCGAACCGGUCAACCCCUAGCUCGACCGGUCAAGGUUACCUUUUGUUGUUUUUGACUCCCGAGCUUAGAAACCUAUAAAUUGAGAGCUCCACUUCAUUUAUUGACGAGAUAACACUUGCAAUCAAUUGUCUACCUAUUUGUUCUUGAUCAGAAAGCUCUCAUUUCUUUCUUAGUACAUUAAAUCAUCACUUGCAUAUCCUUUAGUGCACUCUUGUGUGUCAUCCUAGAUUUGUCUUGUAUUUGAGCUAUCUUUAAGCUAGGUUGAGGGAUUCAUUCUUGUAAAAACCGAGUGUUAAAGCCUUCAAGAAGUUUAAAUCUUGAAGAGAUUGUGUAAGAGUCCAUUGGAGCCAAAAUCCAAGUGUAAGAAGAUUGGAAGUUUGGUUGAAGUUUCAAGUUAGUGGAACCUUCACUCGGUUAGGAGAUUGAGGAGACUGAACGUAGGCAAAGAAGUGUCGAACUACUAUAAAACCCGAGUUUGAAUUCUCUAACUCUAGCUCUUUAUUUUGCUUAUAUUGUGCUUGAACUCGUUGUGAUUUAAAAGAAUUUAAAAAACCCCUAUUUGGGUGUUUUUCUUAAUUAAGCAUAGCCUUUAUUUUCUCAUAAAUAAUCUUACAAAAUCUUAGUACAAACUUUAGCCUUAAAUGAUACAAAAUAAACUAGGAUUGAAUGGUGCACUAAUGAUAUGUAAGUUUUAAAACAAUGUGUACAAAAAACACUCCCCUAAAGCUCAAAUAUAUUCGAGAAAGGUUUAAGAAGGUUAAACUCUUGAAACAAUAAAUAUUGAAACCUUUUUAUAGAAGAGAAAAACCAAACUACCUGUUGGGGAUUCGUUCGAUCAAGCUCUGGUUCGACCAGUUCACUAGCCUUUAGCAUUUAAUGUAUGAUAGGUGACCAUUGGACCUUGACUACCCCUUGAUUGGUACUCGACCGGAUGAAGUUCAACCUUGAUUGAUCGAAUAAGCAUUCUGGAAGAGAGAUAAGGUUUUUGCACCUUUCAACCGAGUAAGCUGAAUAGGUCGACUAAUUUCUCAUUCGAUUCAACCGAUUGAGUCAUUUUUUGCUCAACAACUAUUAUUUUCAACUUAAAACCUUUUAAACAAGUUUGGAAAGCAUUUGACAUAAGGUUUUAGUUGAAAACAUGAAAUCAUCCAAUUUUUAAAAGAUUUAAAACAAAAUAACUCUUGAAUGAUUUUGGUGUAUAAGUAAAGAAUGUAAUGCAUGAAAAACCCAAUGCACCAACAACCUUACAAAGAGAUCCUAUGAGUCUUAGGUCUUGAAAAACACUUAUCUUUAAGGUCUUCUUCUUCUUAUUGAUUUUAUCUUUGUGAUUGCCACUUUGGAAAUCAUCUUGCCUAGUCACACUUAAAAUAUAAUCAUUAGUUCUAAAUCUUGUUUUGUUAUCAUCAAAACUAAGAUUAACCAAACCUUGGUUUCACAAUAUGAAUAUUGUAUCUCUAGAUCUAUAGUUAAUAGUGGUUUUUAUAGUCAUUUGUUUCCAUUGCGAUAAAUUUAGAGAAGCUUAGGGAUAGAUGAAUGCACCCUAUGAGAUCUAGGGCAUAGGAAUGGAGUAAUCCGGGGUUCCUAACAUAGUUUAGGCUUGUGCUUCAUGGAGUGAUAACAAUUCUUCAAGCAUAGUUAUGCUUUAGAAAUUUGUUAUUGAUUGGUCCAAUUUUUAGACCAUCUUCAGCAACAAUCUUGUGUGCACCAUUGAUAUAAUCUUGUUAUACAAAAUAUGAUCUAUCACAUUUUUGGCAAGAACUUUCCACUGGUUUUGUGCAUGGUAAUGAUCAUGCAUGCAAACUUAACUAAGUUAUACACUAGAUGCCAAACUACUACAAUUCUUAUACACCUUCCCGUUUUGUGCAACUGAACAAUUCAACAUCAUAACACCAAAGUUCUUGCUUAGAUUUCCUACAGUGCUAAAAUUUUGAAAUGAUUAAUUUGUUUAUUUUUCUUUCAAUCCCAAGACCCACAUACAUCAUGUCAUGCCCUAAGACCCACUCUAAGGGCAUGACAAUCAUUUCACAUCUCAAGGUCGAAAGCUCAAAGUGUAAAUUGACCUUAACAUUCAUUUUGUAACUGGAAAAUUAUCAAUUACCAAAUUCAUAUUUAUAGUAGUAGAAUAAAAUUCUACAAGUUUCAAAUCUCAACUUUAAAGUUAACACAUCAACUAAAGUGUUAUUGUCCAAACAACUUCAAACUUAACAAUUCAAGCAAUCAUUAAAUUCUAACUUUCAAAAAAUAUUUUUUAAAAAUAAAGAUUUAACGAAAAGUCUUAGUAUUGCCAAAAUCUCAUCCUAACCUUCACUCCUAGCCUGAAUUAAGGUGCCUAAAAAAUUGUCAAUGAAAGGAAAUGAGAUCAACGCUCAAUAAGGAAUAUUAAUAAGGUUUCAUGGAUCAAACAUUUUUAAUUAUAAUUCCAAAUAGGAGAUAUAAUAUAUAAUCAUUUUCAUAAGAAAUUUUGAGUUUAAAUAUAAUAAUAUAUUGAAAACUUUUCAGCUAAACAUUUUCAUAUCUAUGUCAAAACAAUUUCAUAUCAAAUUCAAAUCAAAUAUAUACAAAAUAUUUUUACUUUGGUUAUCAAAUGUCACAUGGUGUCAAGUUAGGUGGGACUUUACAAAUUGGUGUCUAACCUCAAAUUUUUUCCUUUCAAGGUGGACGAAACCAAACACUACUAGUAUUAUUAACAUCUAACCAAAUCCCUAAAGGGUGAGAUCUAAAGCAAUUACAUUCUCCGCCAAGAAAUAUAAGGUCAACAAUUAUAACUCGUUGACUAGGGACAAAAAUAAACUAGAGUCAAACACCUUAUUUCAUUAAUUCAAACUUGCAAAACAAAAACAUCAUAUCUCCAUAAUUUUCAUUUUUUAUAAACAAAAGAAAUGUUCUAACAUAGUUUUUUCAUGAAAAAUAUAUAUUUGAUCCAUGCAUAAAAAUAAAAAUAAUUUUUUUAUUAUUCAAAAUAACAUAUAAAAAUAAAUAUGUUCUUUUGGCCAAAACAUGUAUUAAUUUUUCUUACCUCAAAGAAACACUCAAAGACCUUGAAGCAAUUAAUCCUAAAGAAUUUCACCCCAAAAAACAUAUUUCACACCUUACUAAAAAAAAAAAAACAAAACAAAAAAAUUACUAUUGAUUAUUUAUCUAAUAAUAGUUUUGUAUUUUAUAUCACCUAUAUUAUUUUUAACUUCCUAAUAAAUAACAAUUUAAUAAGCGAUUUUCCAAAUUUUUAAAAGUUAUGUUCUUUCCAAAAUUUAUUCAUAAUAUUCUAUUAUUAUUAUUAUUAAUUAAAUCUCUCAAAAAUAUGUUUUUUCUAUUUAUUGCAUUAAACUAUUAUUAUUAUUAUUCAAUUUCAAUUUGAUUAAUUGGUUUUUUCUUUUAAAUUCCUAAUUUAUAUAAGAUUCUUGUUUUGAAAAUCUUCCAUAUUUACUUAUUUGUUUAAAGUAAAUUUCUCCAAAACUUGUUCCUUUUGGUUAAACAAGUAUCUUUUCCUAUUAUUAUUAUUAUUAUUAUUAUCCCUAAUAUUAUAUUCAAAUAACUAAACAAUAAUAAUUUAAAUUAGUGAGUUUCCAAAUUUUUAUAAAACUCAUAUUCAUUCUAAAUCUUAUCAUAUAUAUCAAUUUCUUUUAUAUACUUAAAUUAAAUUAAAAAAUUUACUUAAAAAAUAUAUAUAUUAUAUUAUUACUUUCAACAUCCUUCUACCACCCAAACAAUUACUUCAAGUAAAAGUCAUAUAUCCUUAUUCUACUAACUAUCCUCUCUCUUGCAAUAGCACACUUAGGGAUGGCAAUGGGGUGGGUUCGGGAUGGAUCGCCCCUAUCCCAACUCCUCCCCAUUUAUUCAAAAUAAUUUUCAUCCUCGUCCCAUUUAAAAAAUUAAAUGAGGCAGGGCGAGUAUGAUAAAUUCUCAUAUUCGCCUCGCCCCGCCCCGUUUAACUCUUUUUUGAAUUUUUUUUUAAAAUUACUUUAAAAAUUUUUAAUUACAUUAAAAUAAAUAUAUUUUAUAAAUAAUUAAAUUAUUAUAUUUUUUAUAACUUAUUUUAUUAAAAAUAUUUUAUUAUUAUCUAUAUAUUAAAAAUAGUAAAAUAAAAAUUAAAUUAAAUUAAUUUUAUAUAUAAUUGGGGUGGGACGGGAUGAGGCAAUACCCAAACCUGCUCCGGGUUUUAAAAAAAAUUCUCAAACCUAUCCCAAACCCGUUUAUUAAAAUUAAAUCUCGUCUCAUUAGGGACGAGGCGAGUACCUGAAAAAACCUGCCUCAUUGCCAUCCCUAGGCAAACUUUCAUUUUUUUUUUUUUUUUUAUCUUUUUCCUCCUUAAGAUCAAUCCUAUUGUAAGCACCCUUUUUUUUUCUACCACAUCUUGUUGCAAGCAACCUUGUAAGUUUUUUUAAUUUAAAUUUUUUUUCCACUAUGGAGGCACGUACAACCAUAAAACCUCCUCUUUUUUUUAUUUUAUUUUUACAACUCUCAAAUCUCUCAACCUCCAUACUAUUAGGUUUUAUUCAUUUAUUUAUUAUUAUUAUUAUUAUUAUUAUUAUUCCAUAUCCAAAACUAUAAUUAAUUUUCUUUUAUAUUUUUUUAUUUUAGAUCUAUUAAUUUGAAUAUUCGAAAUUUUCUAAUCUUACUAAUAACUCUAAACGUUCAAAACUAAUUAAUGAAUAUAAAAUAUUAAUCUAAGGAUUAAAAUCUUAUAUAGAAAAUUGAUCUUUAAAUCCUAAACUCCCAAAUUUUCAACCUUACGUUGCCCUAUGUUGUCCAAUCUCUUAGAUCUCCAUGUAAAAGGGUUUUUUUUUUUAAUAGAGUAAAUAAGAAAAAUUUAAUUUAUACCUAAAAUUUUAAAAUGGAGAAAAAUCUUUCUACCCUUAUUAAUUUAAUUAAUUUUUUUAAAUUAUGUUUUUACCCUUGAAUUGGGUCUGGGCAUCACACAUCAUACUAAAAAGUUAUCAAUAACCAUCCUUUGAGGCACAUUAGCAUAAAUUUGCGACUUUAGUUGUGUUCUAGGUGCAAUUCUAUUAUGUUUAAUUGAAAAAUAACACCCAUAGCACAACCAAGCCUAAUUGACAGCAUUUGGGCAAAUAAAUGGUAAAUUUCUAAAAGUUCACCAAAAAAAAAAAAAAACAAAAAAGAUCAUAAAGGGCAUAUUUUUCAAGUCAACCUAGUUUUGGGAUAUUGCAAUCCAAUCUAAGAAUGCAAUAAUAGCUCUUUAAUUCAUAAUUUUAAAUUCACAAAAGAUAUCACCUAAAAUUACUAUAGGUUACCAAAACAUCAACAACAUAUAGAAAGCUUAGAAAUGCUUGGAACCUAUCGAAUUUUCACUUUUUAGGAAUAAAAAAAAAAUGAACUUUAAGGAUUUUAGGGUAAUACUUGCUUGAACCAUCUUUCAAUCCUUUUGUUGGCGGUGGGCCUUUUACCUAUAAGAACAGGAAUGAGAGGUGAAAAGGAGGGAGCCUUAUGAAAACGGAUCCCUAGGGCUUAAGAAGGGGUUUUCAAUUUUAGGGUUUGUCUGUUCACCAAGGAUGUGAAUGGGAAGAUGAGGUGAAGUUAAGAGAUUGGUGAAGCAAAGUGAGGGCAUGGUAGGGUUUGAAUAAGGGAAAGUCUACACUAUUAAUGAAGAUGAUAAUCUUUAGAAAGCAAAGCUAAGGUAAACUAGGGCUUUAACAACAAUUUUCGAUCUACACUAGUGAAGACGAUAUCUUCGAAAACCAAAGCUAAGGCAAGCUAGGGCUUUAAUAACGAAUUUCAAUCUACAAUGGUGAAGAUGAUAAUCUUCGAAAACCAAAUCUAUAAUGGUGAAGAUGAUUAAAAACUAAAUCUAUAUUGGUAAAGACGAUUGGAAAGCAAAUCUACACUAGUGAAGUCAACGAAACCAAAGGUAGGUAAAAAUAAUAAUAAUAAUAAUGCAUUCUUAGAUCCAAAUCACCAUUUCCAACAUGGUAUUUGGAUUUCCACCUUGUAUUUUUUGUUUUUAAUUUUUUCAAUAAUCAAGGACAUUUUAGGGAUUAUUAAGUGACAAUAUUCUUCAACUCAAUUUCCCACAUUAGUUAGGUGUAAGGCUCAAAUGUGAAACUCAUAUAGAUGUUAGGCCAAUCAUCAAACUCAUUUGCCUUGAAGCAUAAUUUCCCCUUUUUAAAAUAGUUGUUAAACAUCUAUCCCCAACACUUGUAACCCUUUGAAGUGCUUGUAUGUUAACCUUGUUUCCUUUUUCUCAUGAAACAUGGCUUAUUGAUUGUUGCAUUGAGUCAUUAUCAUUCACCAAAUCCAUGCAACUAUGAACUACCUUUCAAAUCCCUCGAACAUAAAUGGUAAUUCCAAAACAACUCAAGUAUAAUCUUUCCAAGCCCUUCAAAUGAUUUAAUUAAUUGAUGUUUGAAUAUACUUCAUAUAUUUUUUUAGAGCAAUUUUUUAGGCAUAUAACAUAAAUCUCUAAUUUCAUUUUAUUUUUUUUAUAAAAGGUUUUAUAUUUUAUAUUACAAUUUCCUCUCUUUUUUUUCAUCUAAAAAAAAAAACAUAAAACCUUCGUAAACGAGUUUUGUCACAAUCCCUUAACAGGUAAUCUAUUUUUAAAAAUUACUUUAACAUUUUUAGAUAUAUUGAUUCAGUCUAAUUUAAUUUUAAUAUUUUUUAUAAAAUAUUUUUAUUUUAUAUGAUUAUAAAUUAAUUACUAUUGAUUGCAUAUUAUAGAAUAUAUAUUCUAAAAUAUAUCCUAUUCACAAUAAUAUCAUAAGAUAUUAUAUCCAUAUCCUAACAUAUUAUAUACUUUUAUUUUGUGCAAUUAGCAACAGGGUGGAAGACGGCUUAGGCGGGAGACGGCUUAACGGAAAUGCCGUCUGCCAUGCGUGUCCCUUCCCUUAGUGAGUCUGAACAGCUCCAACAUUUCCGACACGCCCUUCUUCGCUUAGCUCUUAAGUAUUUUCGUCCCGUUUUCAUUAACCCCAUCACAUUUCGCCAUGUGGAUCUAAGCCUCAUGGUCCUUUCGUUCGUACGAUGAAUAUUCCCCCAAUUCCUUAUCUACACUAAACCUCCAUACUCGCCAUCUACUCAACCACUUCUCUACUCUAGAGUCUGGAUCCUUUAUCUCUGCACGUGUCUAUGGCUCUUCACCCCAGCAAGUAUGGCAUUACAAGGGCAAUAUCGUCAUUAAAGACCCAAAAGGCAAACGAAUGGCAUUAUCUCCCUUUUGGGUCUAUUCUAUUUAUAUUGUAAGUUUUUCGUGAUGACUUCUCUCAUAACAGCUAAAAACCACUCCAACAGAGCACACUUCACUUCUUCGUUUUUGUCUUUCCUCUUUUUUUUUUUUAGAGAAGCUGAGAAAGCCCAGCUCGCCCUCAACUCCCCGAUGGGUUUGAUGAAUGUUCUCAAAUUCUCAGCUGCAUGCUUUGAUCUUCUUGGUUGGUAUGUUGUCUACGCAUUUUCUCGUCAUUGGAAAAUUUUGGAAAAUGAAGUGGAAUUCUAUGUUUGAGGAGAAACUGGGAUUUGCUUUGAUUUCUCCAUGUUGGUUUUAUCCCUUUUGUUUGAAUUGUCCAGAUUCUUGUCAUUGAUUGUUAGUUAUUUGUUUGGAUUUCUACUUGCAGGCCUCUGUUUGCACUGGGUUAUCCUCUGUAAGUCUUGGUCUUACACCCCAAGAUAUGAUGGUUCAUUUACUCUUUUCUUGUUCUAUGAAUUCUUAGUUCAGUUACAUUUAUUGGGUUGGGAAACUGAAAAGGGAAAGGAUUAUUAGUUAUUAUCAUAAUAAUCAUCAAUAUCAUCUCGGUUCUUCACAGAUGUGCUUCAAUUCGGGCAAUUGAGACUAACUCAAUCUCAGACGUUCGGAAGUUGGUGGCGUAUUGGGUUCUAUUUUCCUUGAUUUCACUCUUUGAUCAUACUUUUGCCAAGCUCCUUGAAUGGUAAUUUUGCUCAACUUCAUUCUUUGCCCUUCAGGAAUUUGGAGUUGCUUUUUUCAGUUUUCUUCCUUGUGACAAUAAUCGAGAUGUUUAAUGUUCCAGGCCUCCAUGUAUUUUAUUUUCCUUCACUUCUCUGCUUUGAAAAAUGCCCACAAUCUGAUCAACAGAAAGGUUAUAACAUUUGAAAAAGAAAUGCUUUGUUUUGGUUUUUUAAGUGCAACAAUUUUCAUUUGGAGAAAUGAUCUAAAGGGUAUUGGUGUUUGGCCGAAUUCAUGGAAUUUUCUCGCUAAUUUGGGAUUUAUUCUCAAUUUCAAGAUCACUGUGGAUAUUUCAGAAAUUAAUGAAAUAUAUAUGAUGGAAUGUGAUUUUCUUGUUUAAGAAAAGUUUUUCUUUGAAAAUGUGGGUGACCCCAACCUACCUUAUUGUACUACUUGGAACACAAAACAAAAGUUUUUCUCGCUAAUUUAUUAACUAAAUUGCACACUUUUUGAUAGUUCAAGGAAGUGGUGUCAGCUUUGGAAAUAAGAUGGAUGAUUGUAGGGAACUUUAUUUCUCAUCUUUAUAGGGAACUUUCCAUAAUAUAGCUUAUAAAUAUCAUAAUCACAGUGAUGAAUGAUUGUCUUGUUUGAAAGCAUGGUUGCACUUAUUUCCAGGGAAUUUGUCUGCGUUGAAAUUAAAUUAAGCUUUAUGCAUCAUUUGGAUGCUGGGAAACAAAUGGAAAUAGAAAAUUCAGAAUCUGACAAGUUUGUGUAGGGCAACUGGAUCUAAUCUCUUAGUCGAAGCUUAAUAGGGGCAAAUGCUGAUCAUCUUUGAACCUAUUGAAGGCUCUAAUCUGUGCACAAUUCUAAUGUUUUUGUUUUCUUCAUUUCUUUUUCAACUUUUCAUAAUAGAUGUCAAAAGUUAAAACCGAACUUACGUAGUCCAUCCAAGUGGAUGCAUAUAAAUUUAACAGAAACUGAAAUUUGAAGAAAUUUAUUUUCCCUUUUGUAAAUGGUGUUUAAAAAGUCUGUGUGUAGUUUGGUUUUUUUCCUGGAAGAUCAGAUGAUUUCGUGAUCAUUUUUUCUAUUUGCCUUAUCAUCAUGAGAUUUAAGUAUUUUUUUUAAAAAAAUAUUUUAUUUUCUUAUAUAAUGCAUGUCAGGAUACCAUUCUGGCCUUACAUAAAGCUGAUGGUCAUCUGCUGGCUGGUGAUACCGCAUUUUGAUGGUUCCUAUUAUAUCUAUCAAUACCUAGUUCAUCCACGCUUGUCCAUGGAUCCACAAGUUGUCAUGAAUUGGCUCUUCAAUGAAUCAAAAAAGAAGUUUCAUAGCAGAGAAAACUUUCUUGUUUCAGCAGACCAAUAUAUUAAGGAGAAGGGACCUGAAGCUUUGGAGAAACUACUUGCAAGGAAGGUAUGCCAUUAUAAGUAGGAUUGUCAACAAGUCAAAUAGAGUUUUAUUUGAGAUGUUCAAGUAAAAAAUUACUAUAGCAGGUCAUCUAGAAUUAUUGGUCUAAAUUCAUGUAUAUAUCUAUAUAUAAUUGUGUUCUCUUUUUUUCACAUAUGCAUGUGCAUUUAGAUUUACGUAAUUAUAUAUGCAUAAUCAGAUUCAACUGUGAUAGCCCAGGAUUUAAUUCAGUAAUCAACUCUUCUGGGAACAUGUUGGUUAUGGUUUCUCUCUCACUGUCCUCUUAUUUAUACAUGACUUUGGCUUCAGUUGAGGAGCACAAAGCCUAAUGUUGAAGUGAAAGAGAUCAAAGGACCUGCAGCACCGGAGAAAAAAGGGGAACAGGUAUGCACUCUACUAUUUUAUUUCUAUGGAGGCAGAUCUCCAGAGAAAUGUUGCUCAUGUAAAUUAGUGAUGCAUUUAAAAGAAAAACCACUUUAUGUAUGUUUCUGUGAAAAAGAGAACAAGUUUAUGGAUUAAGUGAUAUUUUUUAUGGUGAAAUAAUCAAUAAUUUUCAAAAUAAUAAUAUAUUCGUGCAUGUUUUUGCAAUUCAUGAAUUCCUUUUACGAUUGAUUCUUCUCACCUCAGUGGAAGUGUGAAGAGCCUAAUGUUGCAGAAAAGGAGAUCCAAGUAGUCAAAGUAACAGACAUAAAAAAUGGGGGGGAUGGAGCAAAGAGGGUAAGUUUUCCUUUUUAUUUAUAAGGAAGGCUGUCUUCACGCAAGGAUUAUUGUUAUUAUUUUUAAGACAUGAAUGUUGAAUGCAUUUGGAAUUGUCGUUGAAUCAUGUGAAGUGUGAAGGUGCAAAUGGUGCUAAGAAGGAGAUCAAAGUGAUGGAAGUAACACAGAGAACAUUUGGUGAUACAGCACAGUGGGUAAGGUUUCUUGUCAUACUUAAAUGGCACCUCAUAUUUCACUAGGAUUAAUUUUGGCCUACAAACAUAUUUGGCUACAAGUUGAAGACAGCUUUCCAGAUACUGGUAAAAGUUGAGACAUAAGUAAUGAAUGAGUUUAGAAACAUGCACAACUCUUGUGUGAAACACAAUGAGAGUGGAAAAUAGCUAAGUUGAAAAAUGGCCAAAUACUAUUUUGUAGUUCACCCCACCACUUAAGUAAUUUUUGUCAUCCUUUGUGAAUGGAAAAUGCAGUCCCUUCAGUAAUUCUGCAUAUAACCAUUAGUGUCUUGUCCUAAGUUGACCUUUAAUGAUGGUCCAUUGAGAGGGAUCUGACUUUUGUCAACCCUCUUAUUCCUUUGAUCAUAGAGGUUAAACAUACGGGGCUUAACCCACUUUUCAAUCUCAUUGGAUAUAUGGCAUGUGGUAUCCUCUUCAUCUUGAAAGAGUGAAGUGGUCAUACUCUUUCCUGAGUCCAUCGUGGCCAUGCACUUCUGGCUCAUUGGGCAGAGUGAAAGGAUUCCCUUCUGCUUCAAAUCAUAGAGAGAUAUGCCAUGGUCAGCCUCUUUAAUUUGAAGGAUUGAAGUACUCAAAUCGAUUUCUUUGCAUCCAUCUUAGUCCUGCUUUCAUGUCUCAUGGUUAACCAGGAAGAUCAAGCUUCCAUCCAUGAGAUCAGCAUCUGCAGGGUUAUGACACCACCCUUCCUUGGCAUAGGAAAGCGAUCAUUAAGCCACAUGUCGGAUGACAGAAGUCGUCAUUCAGGUUAUCUUGCGAACUAGGGAAGUUGGAAUUCUAAUUAUUGCAUAUGGUUCUUGAUGUUUAGCCAAUAUACUAUAGGAUUUUAAGCAUCCUGCCCAUGUGCAUUGUGGUUUUUUAUCAGCUAUAUGGUUUACCAAACUGAGGGAUUGAUUAUAGUCAUAAGUACCCUUUUCCCAUUAAUUUCUUGCAUGUGCUUUGCUGAGAUUAUGUUUUUGACAGUGCUAAUCAGGGCAAACCAACAAACAGCUUUAUGUUAACUUUUACAAACUGCCACAUUUUCAGGUUGAACGAUCAGAGAUAAAUCUUGGUGAAACUAGAAGUAAUACAACCUGUGCCGUGGAGAUAAAAGAAAGGGCAGCAGCACUGGUGGCUGCAGAAAUUGAGGCAUGUAGAGACGAUAGAACCCCCAAGAUAC